UUUUUUUUGGUGGGUUCGGUGCAACUUGCUCCAAUUUAAACCCUCAUGCUUGGAUAGUUUAGGGCAAUUUGAGCCCCAACUAGCUCAAACUAACUCUAACCCAUGGAUCCAAACAGGGCCUAUGGCCAGUCUCGACGCGAAGCAGUCGCGUGCACCGGGAAGCGGCGCUCUCUCGGCCGUCGCGCCACUUCAAAGCCGGCGCCAGUGAGAGGUCGCCUCCGCUCUGGCCGGGCAUUAAUGCGGCACUGAUGCUCCAGGGGGACGCUGACUGUUUCACGCGGGAAGAGUGCGCUGGCAAGGGAGUAUAGGUUUUGAACCGUUUCAGGUGUAGUACUGGUAGUUUGCAAAACUACUCAAUUAUUGCACUCAGUUUCCUAAGAAAUUGUGGUAAAAACGUUACUCCACAGCCCGCUUCCCUUCUCCUUCCUCUUCCACCGCCCGCACACGUCCGCGGGAAGCAACCGGUCAACCCUUAUAUAGGAGUGCUAGCACAAAAAGAUGCAUGCAUGACCACUAAAAUUUCCAUAUUAAAGCGCCGCUCCGGCGGGAGUAUGGCGUAUGUUGUUACCUUCGGCCGGCCCAUGGCUACCGGGCGAUGGCGACUAGAGAAGAGGCAGCGGGAGGGGAAUGAAUGCAGCUACUAUUUGGGUUCGCCUUCCGGCUUAAAUAAAUGUGCAGUAUCACGUGUACCCGCGGGUGCACAAAUUGUAACAUACGUGUCUGCUUAAGUGGGCGUCAUGUAACUGGUGUGUGUGUGAGAGAGAUUCUGAGAGACAGAGUGCAUGUGUGCGACUCUACUCUUCGGACAUGUACUCAACCUUUUGCAUCGGGAUAUAAGUAUAAUGGUAUUUACUUUAGCUAGUGAUUUACGUGGCCAUGUUAAUGUGGUUGUGUCAAAAAAAUGUCACUUCCUGCUCGUGAUUUGCGUUAUAUAAUUACAAGGAAGAUUCUCGUGCAUUGCACGGAACAUCAAUAUGCAUUUUUUAUAGAACACCUGUUGUGAUUGACCCAUGCAGGAGUAAUCCCAUGUGUAAAAACUAGUGAUAUCUCAAGAAUUUUAUCGGAAAACUGGUAUCUUGAGAAUGUCAUCGAAAAAAUGAAAGAUGAGAGAUAAGGCAAGGAGGAGUGGAUCAUGGUGGUGACUGGUGGUCGGAAUGGGUGGAGGCAUGGGGCUGGACGGCGCCGGCAGGCGGCAGCGGCCACCAUGCAUGCUAGAUUUUUCCAGAGACUUAUUCCUUUUUUAAUUGUUGAGCAAUGAGGUUGCGAGAGAUAAUGAUGUGGAGAGAGGUGCCGGUAUCUUUUGUAAAAUUAUCAUAGUUUGCUUUCUAUCCUCAGAUAUAGAUCAUACGGUCUGUAUUACAAGAUGGCAGGCACACCAUCACCACCAACUCAUUUUUUUAUAAGGGUACAGAUGAUAAGUUUGCUGACUACUAAAGUAAAGUGGAAUUUGUCCAUGUUAUGCAAGUAAAUAAAGGUGNNNNNNNNNNNNNNNNNNNNNNNNNNNNNNNNNNNNNNNNNNNNNNNNNNNNNNNNNNNNNNNNNNNNNNNNNNNNNNNNNNNNNNNNNNNNNNNNNNNNNNNNNNNNNNNNNNNNNNNNNNNNNNNNNNNNNNNNNNNNNNNNNNNNNNNNNNNNNNNNNNNNNNNNNNNNNNNNNNNNNNNNNNNNNNNNNNNNNNNNNNNNNNNNNNNNNNNNNNNNNNNNNNNNNNNNNNNNNNNNNNNNNNNNNNNNNNNNNNNNNNNNNNNNNNNNNNNNNNNNNNNNGCUCCGCCUAGAGCAUGUGUGUGUGAGAUGCAGUCUUAGUGUGUGUGUGAGAGAGAGAGAGGAGAGAGAUGGAGUCUUAGUUUGUGUGUGUGUGUGAGAGAGAGAGGGAGAGAGAUGGAGUCUUAGUGUGUGUGGGGGGCGGGUGGGCGUGCUUGCAUGUGUGUGUGUGUGUGAGAGAGAGAGAUAGAGAUGGAGUCUUAGUGUGUGUGUGUGUGUGUUGGGGGGUGCGUGCGUGUGUGUGUGUGUCGCGGGGUCCUCUGUGGCGGAUGUAAUUUAAGUGUGCAUGGCUUUCAUCAUAGAGAGGUGAUGUGUAUGGCAGAGGCCACCAAUGAUGGGGUGCAAGAGAGAAAAUGCCUGUAGAGAGGGGAGAGAAGGUGUGUGCGCGUGAGAGGAGUCGACUUCGAGAGAACGUGUUUGUUAGAGAGACACCGAGGAAGACUACUAUAUAUUGAUGGUGCAUGUAGGCGGGAAUUAAACUAAGGGAUGGUCUUAUUGGUUUCGGGGAUAUAGGGGAAGCGUGAGAGGCAGGGGUAGCUAGAAGGAGAUUGUUAAGUGUGAGUGUGUGUUUUACCCAUCCAGGCGGAAGUUAUGUGCACAAAAGAGGAGAAUGAUUCGAUGUGGCAUUAGGAUUGAGGGUAAUUAACUACGCAUGGAGACAUAGAGACCUUGAACGUGCAUGUGUGAGAGGUAUACAUGUAUACGUGGGAUGUGUGUGUGUGUGCGUGCGCAUGAUCGAGAUAAAAGAAAGAAGACAUAAGUCACAAGAUCAAUGACAUGGGAGAGACGGAUCAGUAUGACAAUAUACAUGCAUGUGAGAAUGCAUGGAAGAAGUCCCGACAAUUGAGCAUGUGUUUUUCUCUUUAAGAGAUAGUGGCGUGGGCUGGAGCAUGCAUCUAUGGCGAGCAGAGGGAGUGAGGCACAACGAUUGUGCAAAAGAGACCAACCUAUAAAUGCAUAUGUAUGGAGAGACAUAUAUAGUGUGGGUGAUAGGAAGCAAGACUCCAUGCGAGAAAGAAAUGUUGAGGGAGAAACUACAGAUAGAUACAGAGAUGGAGAUGCUAGCUAGAGGGACAUCCGCUAGUUUGGGUGUUGUAGAUGACCGUCGGGUGGUUCAAAGGGUGAAGUUAUAUAUGUGUGUGAGAGGGCACUUGACUGCAUGUAGAGAGAAACAUAUGUAGUGUGUGUGAUAGGAAUCAAGAGUGAGGGCGAGAAAGAAGGUUGAUGGAGAAACAGAUAAAUAGAAAGAUAAAGAUGCUAGCUAGUGUGCGUUAGAGAUAGGAGUCGAGUGGAUCAGAAGGUUGGGUUAUGUGUGUGGGCAUGAGAGAGAUAGACAGAGGGUGCGUGUGAGUCACAUACAAACAGAUAUCAGAGAGAAAUGAGAUCCAGAGAGAUGGAGUUUUGUGUCUGUGAGAGAGAAAGAUAUUUCACAACGAGAGUGAUAGCUAGAGAGACAUACGAGGGAAUGCAAGAUAUUUCUAGGGAGAGAGGGUGUGUGUCAGCGACAUACAAGAGAACAAUGGAGAAAUAUGAGACCCUGGGAGACAGAGUUUGUGUUUGUGUGUGAGAAAGAGAUAUUGAUGAGGAAGAGUCAUAGGUUCUCAUAUCUAAGGAGCGAAAGACAUCUCUGUAUGAGGGGUGUACGAGUGGCACACAUGGGAAUAGUAGAGAGAAAUGAGAACCCGGGAGACAAAAUUUUGUGUUUGUGUGAGAGAAAGAGAUUCCACAUGGAGAAUCAUAGUUAGAGACACAUAGCAGGGAGAGAGAUAUACUUAGAGAGAGAUAGAGUGAUGAAGGUCGAGGGAGAGAGUACCGUCAGUGUGUUACGAAGAUAAAAGAUCAUUGUCGACAUACACGUAGCACGAGAGAUGCCUGAGAGACGAUGAAUGCGUAUAGGUCCAGAGAGAUGGUCCUAUAUAAGCAUGAGUGAUAGCUAUAUGAGACGAAUAUCUGGAUUAAAGGGGAUUCAAAUAUUUAAACUGGAGAUCACGACAUUGAUAAUAUCAUAAUGCAAAUUGGUGUAUCAAACAUGCAUAUUCAUUUCAAUUUGGGCACACAUGUAAUGUUAUAUAGUUUAUCAAUAUUGGUGAUCCAUAGAUUCUUCAAUUACAAACAAUGUAUGGUUUAUAUGCAAUUAAUGUCUAAACGGGAUUACACUAUAUGUUGCGUGUGUGAAACACAUUAUAAAUGUUUGAGAAGUAAAAAACCCGCAUGAAACACACAUUAAUUGGAGACAGUUAGCGAGGAAUGCAUACAUUGGAUUUCAACAUAAAGUGGUUUCAAAUAUUUGAAAAUCCAAAUUGAUGGACACAACCUUAUGAAUCUGAGAUCAUGCCAUUUGUAAACCAUAUUUAUGUAUAAAUGGUGUUGUGCUUUUGAAAGUAUAUAUAAAAAAUGAUGUAUAUAGAAUGUAAUUCCAAUUGAAAAUGGAUCCCGCCUGAAAAAAAUAGAAUACAAACGGGAUUCGAAUUGAGUUGGCACGGUAAACGUGCACUCUGCAAAAUUUGAACGAAGUGGGGAAAGUCGCAGUAACCGCCCGGAACCAAAAUCUGCGAGAUGGAAAUCACUGCUACCUAUCCCUGCCACGCAAAGCCUAUAUGCUGGAUUUCUAUAGGUUUCGAUAGGGGUAGGUUUGUAAUUUCACCCAAACAUGACGUAACCGCCUCUCACCCGGAUUCAUACACGGUGGGCGCCAAAACACAGUGUGUCCUCGGCCAAAAUCGACUCCCUCCCCGAUUCAUAUUCAUACACGGUGGGCGCCAAAAACAAACUCUCGCCGGCAAAUAUUCGGUGUAUGCGAGAUUACCGUCCUAUCCUCGACCAACUAGUGUUGCUGUGAUGUAGUAGAAAUUUAAAACGGGGGCUAAGUUUGUAAAUUUCCUCACAUUUGAGACAAGCGCGCCCUGAAUACAUGGUUCCCCCCUUCCUCUCUACCUCCCUUUUCCGUGGGUGCCAAAACACCCUCUCCACCCCACCCUCCUCCGUCCGCCGCCGUCCGCCACCCCAUCCACCGCUGUCCUCCUUCACCAUGCCGGAGCUGAUACCCCGACGCCGUCGUCCAUUACAAGAGAUCGACCUCUCUCAUCCACGGCUUCGGACCGGGAUCCUUGCAUCCCGUCCUCUCGCUUCAUCCCCGCCGUCGUCCACCUUGUCGGUGCCGCUCCUACGAUCGUCGCGUCCAAUGCGCCCCGCCGCCACCGUCUACCCUCCUAGAUCUGCUUCCACACUGCCGACAGCCAUCGCUACCGCAGCACCAUCAAAUUCUCAGCAGAUGCCUACACGGCGCCGCACCAGAGGCGGUACUCUUUCGUAUCUGCUCAACUUAUUUAUCGCAGCAAGAAAAUAGAUCACCACUGCUUUACUCUGAUUUCUUGUUUUGGUUGCGAAGUUGCCUUUGUUCGGUUUGCACCUUCAGAUCCGCCAUGGCACGCUCAACACCAUACUCGCAAUGCUUAUGGUUUUCCCCUUUUAUAUUCCACACUAGUUAAAUCACAAUAGACUAAAUUUCAAAAUUGGGUCAGUCGAUUUUUCAGAGCUCGUCGGAGUUCGCCGGUGCGAUCGAAGGGGCUCGAGUGGUUGUGGGGCCUCGCCGAACGAAGAAAACUCGACGCGGGUGGGGGUUGGGGUGGGGGUGGGGGUGGGGGUGGCGGAGGAACACAGGCGGUGGGGGCCGGUGGUCUGAGCGGCAGCCCGUGCGGUGUUCUGUAUGGGAAGAAUCAGAGACGAGGAAGAAGAAGGGUUAGGAGACGUAGGAUCUUCAUCCAACCGCCUGAAAUGGUCGAGAGACAGCUAGGAGUUGCAUUCUUAAUGCGCUCUGGUUCAUCAUGUGUGGGCACUGUGCAACCAACAUUUUAUUAUCCAAAAUCUUCUUGCUCUUCUUUACCAUGUUCCUCUUCCGUUCUUCUUUAAUAUGUACUCUCUCAGUUCCUAAAUACAAGUCUUUGUAUAGAUUCCACCAUGGACUACAUAUGGAGCAAAAUGAGUGAAUCUACACUCUAAAAUGUACCUGGAUACAUCUGUAUGUGAUCCAUAGUGGAAAUCUCUACCAAGAGUUAUAUUUUGGAACGGAGGGAGUAUUAUAGUAGUACAGUAUGUUCCUUGUACUAAAGAUGAGCAGGGACAUUUGCGGUGUAGAGGUCUAUACGGUCGGUUGUGAUGGACACUUUGAGCCUCUUUGAUUCGUAGGAUCUUGUAAACAUAGGAAUAGGAUUUGUAGUGGCCUGCCCACUUGAAUCCUAUAAGAAUAGCAAGGAAAUGCGGGGAGCUGUGUCUCCUUUGAGAGUUACAUUGAUAUUAACAGUACCGCACCUUCACUUGAAGAGAGCUGGUAUCCGAAGCCUUUCUAGCCGUACCGUCAAUACUAGCACAUAUAUUCCAGCAAGUUCCACUUUGCUGAUUUUACUCUGAUGCUUAUGGUUUUCCCGUUAUAUCUACACUAUGAUCUGUGUAGCUGCUUUGUGUCGCACUAGCAGCAGUCCACUCUUGAAGCUAAACACUGCAAUGACAUACAAAAUUGGCACCAAGGCAUUGAGUGCCAUUCUGGAUGCAAUGAAACUCAUACGCUCCCCACCUGUUGAUUCUUGUUCAGAAUAUCAUCCUAAUGACUAUUCUAACCUCGAGGAGUCAAAGGCAGAUGGCAUGUCCUGUUCACCCAUCAAGGUGCCUGUUCUAAUUUGGCAAUGUUUUAUUGAUUGCGGGUAUCUUGCAUAUGUUGUCUUGCAUUUCUUCUACUUUGUUGCACCGCCAUCUGCUUAGUUUACUCAUCAUAUAUGUCGAGAUUCCAUGCCCAUCCAUUAUCAAUACAUAUUCCAUUUGUCAUCAUACCAUGUUUUUCCACUCAAAUGUUGUUCUUGUGCAUCAGACAUCAAAAAGGAAGAGGGUGAUUGCCGAACCUGAAGGAGCACCAGCAAAGUCCUUGAAAAACGUGGUGGUGCCGGAGAAAUCAGACAGCACCCCACUUAUAUUGGUUGUACAACCAGUGACACAAAACGUAGGACCGACUCCAGCAGACUGUACCCAUACUUCACUGGCCACACCACUAGCCCCACCACACAGGACCUGCACUCCAGCAAAAGGUAUACCGAUUUCAUUUGCCAUAGCACCAGUUGUACCACAGAAAAAUCCCACUCCAGCAAAAAGUACAGCAAGUCCACCGGCCGAAGACCUAUCCCAACUGCAGAGACGGCCAAUUCCUGCAGAUUGGAACCCCAUUCCAUUUAUUCCCAUUUUAAAAGACAAUGCUUUCAAUGUUGUUAGGGACUACGUGCAUAUAUUCCCAUCAGGGGAAGAUUAUUGUGAAGACAAACACCAUUUUCACAUCUUCCUGUCCAACUUACGUGUAAGUGCUAUUAUUCAUGGCUAUUAUUUUCCUGUUUUCUGCUGAUUGAACACAUCAAUGAUUUACAUUACAUUGUUGUAACUAGGAGAGGGUCAAUCUGGAUAGUCAUGACGAGCAAAGCUUGCUUGUGCUUUUCAAGGAAGCAUUGCAGCAGUAUCGGUGUUACCUGAGGAAAUCACACUUUGAUGGCAAGUCUAUAAAUGAAUUUCCGGUGAAGUCUCCUGUGCUAAAUUUAGAAGACAUUGAAUGGAAAAACCUUAUUAUGCACUGGUCUCGUUCCCAGGAUGAGGUACUGUCUAUGAAAUCACAUGACAAUUUGAACUUCUACUUUUCCGCACGUGCCUUACGGAUCUUUUUUGCAGGAAAUCUGCUCGAAGAAGAAUUCCGGUUUGACAAGAACGACGGGAUAUCGCAAAUAUGCUGCCUGCUGCUUUGCUCUUGUUAGUACAUGUUGUCCUGUAUCACUGUACUUGCAUACAUACCUGGUUCAUUAUGUGACAGCAAUAUGCAUGAUAUCUUGCUUAUCAAUUGUUCGCUCCAAGUUAUCUGAUCUGUAUGUGUAAGUGCAUCUAGUGCCACCCCUAGUUGGUUUUGGAGUAUUGAUGACAAACCUGGUUGAGGGACUAAUGUGUUUGUGAGAAUUGCAGGAUAACACAGGUAGAAUUCCCUCAUUGAUUCGGUUUUCCUACCAGAGAUGACCCCUAAAAAUGAAUGAAGACAUUGAAGUCAAAGGUGGUAUGUGAAGACAUUCACAUUGAAGACUAUGACAAGAGAAGACAUUGCAUGAAGACUAUAGAGUGCGAAGACUUAGUUGUUUCGUCGUUCUUUUUCUUCUUUGUUGAGUCAUAGGAACCACCGUACUGUUAAGUGGGGUCCAAGUGAACCAGUCAGAAUGACUGAAGUGAUGCUUAACCAAAAUCCUAUGUCUUCGAGUGAAGACUAUGAGAGCAAAUCUUGUCCUGAGUUGGAUAAGUCAGCUUUGCUUGUAGCCCAAGUAAAGUUGCCGUGUGUGUUUGAAAUCUGACCGUUGGAACACGUGUCAAUUCCUUAGUGACCAAGGGUCAUUUCGGACAAAUCAGGUCGGGAUGCCUAGUGGCUAUAAAUAGCCCACCCCCUACAACCAUAAAUGGUUGGCUGCUCAGAGUUAGAGUACGGCUUUUAUCGUUUGAGAGCAACACACCUCGAAGCCUUUCAGAGAGAAUUCCUUGCGAGGAUAAAGCCCUAAACACCCAGAGCCAAAGAGUGUUAGGCAUCACUUAAGUCUUCCUGUCUGUGUGAUCUGAAGACUUAUUACACUUGAGGACUGUGAAUCCUCCAGCCGGUUAGGCGUCGCGUUCUGAGCAUCCAAGAGUCAUUGUGGAUCACCAGUGAACGAAGUCUGUGAAGGUUUGGAAGUCUACCUUGAAGACUUACCAGAGUGAUUGGGCGAGGACUGUGUGUCCUUAGCUCAAGGGAAAUAAGGUGAAGACGAGGUCUUCUGAGUUGAAUCUCAGCCUCCCUAACCAGACUUACAGUUGUCACAGCAACUGGAACUGGUCCAACAAAUCAUUGUCUUCAACAAGUCACUGGUUUCAUCCUUCCCUUCCCUUUACUUACUGUUGGUCCUGUGAAGUCAUUGUAUGAGUGCAUUAUCUUUUGUCUUCACUGAGUGAAUGCUUGUUCUGAUUGGCUUCACAAUAUCUUCCUACCUGAUCCUUACUGCCUAGCUGCUAUUGGUCAUUAUGCUUUCACUUCAUUGAAUACUUGACUAUGGUUUGCCUAGUGUAGUCUACCUUCCGCUGCAUGGUAAUAGGUUUAUUUCUAUCGUUUGUCUUCGAAACUUCCAUGUUUUGAAGACUUUCAUAAAAAUCGCCUAUUCAUCCCCCCCUCUAGUCGAUCACUAGCACUUUCAAUUGGUAUCAGAGCAAGGUACUCCCUUGUUCUGUGUGAUUCAGUUUAACCACCUGGAGUUUUAGCUAUGUCGACUGCGGGGAUAAUUAAAGUCUCCGCUGCAUGCCCCGUCUUCGAUGGAAUUGAAUAUCCCUACUGGAAGAAUAAGAUGCGCAUGCAUCUUGAAGCCAUUGACGUCGACCUAUGGUAUGUCGUCAAGAAUGGCGUUCCUAAGGCUGGUGAAGGUGUCACCGUUGCUGAUGUCAAGAAGUUCGUUCAACUGGACUCCACUGCCAAGAACAUCAUCUAUGGUCAUCUAACCAAAGGACAGUAUGGUCGCAUGAGUGCUUUGGAAGCAUCUAAGCUAGUCUGGGACUGGCUCUCCAAGGUCAAUGAAGGUGUCUCAACCCAGAGAGAUUAGAGAAUCAGUGUCCUUCGCAACCUCUUCAACCGCUUCAAGAGAAAUGACAAUGAGAAUGUCCAGCUCACAUUUGAUUGACUCACUGACAUCACAAAUGAGCUUCAAGCUCUUGGCGCCACUGAGAUCACCAAGCAUGAAGUCGUCAAGACACUCCUGAGAUCACUUGACAGCUCGUUUGACACCCUAGCCCUGAUGAUUCAAGAACGUCCUGACUUCAAGACACUCAAUCCGUCUGACAUACUUGAGAGGCUCAACACACACGAGUCUCAGCUUUCUGAGAAAAGGGACAUCUACGGUCCCAACUAUGGGCGAACUCGUGCCUUGAAGGCAAAAGCUGUCUCCUCAUCUGAAGAAGAAUCUGACAGCAGUUCUGAUGAUCCUGAAGACAUUGGAAAGGAGCUUGCUAUGCUUGUGAAGAAGUUCCAAAAAUUCACCAAGAAGAAAGGCUUUAGAAAGUCUUCACGAUCAAGCUCAAGGAAUGAUGAAGCUUCUGCUGAUGACUACAAGAAGAGAACAUGCCACAAGUGCAAGAAAUGAUGAGGACAUCAAUACCAUUGUUACACCCACAGCCCCUACUGUUACAUAUACUGGACCAAUUACUAGAGCUCGCGCACGCCAAUUAAAUUACCAGGUACUUUUGUUUCUUGGUAAUGAUUCUAAUGUUCAUGAGAUUAUGAUGCUGCCUAAAUUGGAUACAUUUGUUUUGCUUACAAAUGAAGGGCCUAGCUUGGAGAAGGAUGAACAUUGGAGCAAGAACACGCAUGGAGUUGAUGGCAUGCGCAAGGGGAUCAAGAACGGAGUUACAAGUGAUGAUUUUAGGACUUUGAAGCCGCCAUAAGGAGUGCAUGAAGCCUUGGACGAAAUAUACAAGAUGCCACUUCAUAAUAUUCGUCCAUAGGCUAUUCUAGGUGCUGCGUCACCUUAUUAAUGGGCCAGGCCCAUGUAAUUUCGAAAUACUUAAGGAUAGGCUAUUUUUAGAGUCCGUAUGUGUGGGGAAAAAAGAGUUAGGGUUGGUUUCGGACCCCACCCUCAAGGGCCACGAAAUUCCCCCCCUCUUCCUCCAUAUAUACAGCCCUUAGGGCGUCGUUUAGACUUUGGGUUUUGUUUAGAUUAAAAGUUCGCCAUAGCUGCAACUUCGCGUACUUCGUUUGUGUCCAACGACCAGACCAAGACGUCACAGAACCCCACCUUGAUCAAUAAAGCUUUCAUCUUAUAUUCGCAAUAUCCCAAUUGCAAUCUCAGUUUCUUGCUUGUUCUUCGUUUGCUCGCAGGAAACAGACCCUCGUGGUCAGGUUGAUCGUGCUCCGGCGUGGUCAAUAACCCUCGGAAGUUGGUUUAGCGAUUGCUAAGGCGCGACGUCUCGCACGUUCAUAGUCGGAUCGUCAAGGUCGACUCCCACAGAAAAUGAUAGCCACCAUCUCAUCAAAACAUCGGAACACCUUAGCCUCUAUCAAGUGGUAUCAGAUUUCCAGGUUGCUCGGUGAGAUUUUACAGUUUUUCGUAGAUUAGAUUGAGUCUGUUCUUCAUACCUAUAGUCCACGGAAAAGCCAGAAAAAAAAUUAGGGUUAGUUCAUCAUAUCCGAACCAAUCUAAGCCUUUGCAUAAUCUUUUUAGGGUUUUUGCUUUGUUGAAUUUGCGGUUGCAUCGUCGUGUCAAGUUGCUGGUCUUAGAGUCUAGUCUUUUAGAGUUUCGAGUUCUGGUCAUAAGUUGUCAUGCCGCCGCCGCACCAUCAUCAUCGCCCAUCUACCACUUUUGCUUAUCCGCCACCGCUCUGAAUCCAUAUCCAUAUACCACCACCAAUCCGUAUCCAUAUACCACCACCAAUCUGUAUCCAUAUACCACCACCGCUACCAUAUACCACCACCGCUGCCAUAUACCACAACCAUAUAUCCACCACCAAUCCGAGUUCUUCUCAUAUUAGGUUUGUUCUUGAGAUCAAUCUAAAUUCUGAUUCGUGUUUCCUUGCCUGCGUAGGUCUCGGAAAAAAAAAUAAAAAAAGAGUCUAGAGACCCCCGGGCAGUUUUUAGGCCAAAAUUUUCACGGGCAAAUUUUUUUUACUAUCCUAUUUUUAGGCUUUUCUGAGUCUUUUGAGCCACGUGCCAUCAUAGUGAUUUUUUGUCGCACUUCUUCGUCGUCGCUGCCCUGAUUUCCGAAAAAAAAGUGAAAAAAAAUUCCGUGCCCAUCCUAUCAGUUUGACGAGGGAAGAGUUUUGAGACACUCGCCAUUAUAGUGAUUUUUCGCAAAACAAAGGAGCGCAAAAAAAGGAGCGCAAAAAAAGAGCGAAAAAAAAGAGUUCCAGAGUGUGCUUUUCCCUUAUUUACGUGCAGCGCCGUGAUUUUGUUAGUGUUCUAGGCUCGUGUCUCUAGCACGGUCUAGCCUAGGACCAGCAUAGUACCGUCGUUGAGCAUUUGUUCAACUUUGCAUCUCUGAAAUGAUUAUUGCUGACCCUUUUUGAUACCAUACUAUAAGCCUUCCCAGCUCCACAUACAUCUACGUCGUGCGUUUGACUCUCCCUGGCAAUCGCUCUAUCCAAGCUUUUGAGAGUUUUGACUACAACGGUUGCCGAUCACCGCCUGCUGCUGGGUAAGAACUGGUAAGAAUUUGAGAUUUGCUUGACGGAUUUGUGACACCCGCCACCACCACCACUUGUUAGUAGUCUGUAGGAUCAUCUUCUUGUGUGUUUCUAUUGCUGCUAACCAUGCCAGGUUCACAAGCCGACGAGACUGACUGGGAGAACUUGACGAACAAGGAGCUUCAUGAUACGUUUCAGCAAAUGAUGAGUGGACAGGUGCAAGAUGUGAUAAACAGAUUUGAAGAGGCCAUGGAGAAGAUAGAUGGCAUGGAGAAGACGUUUGAAACAAAGCUCGAUAACAAGUUUGCUGAAUUGCUUUCGCGUUUUCCACCACCACCAUCGGCUGCUCCUGCCGCACCUCUGCAACAACAGCAACAACAUUGACUACCUCCACAUCGGGAAACAGCCCUCCGCCGAGCGAGCCAUGUCCCUCUUCAGUCGGGCCAAACUGCUGGUGCUGCUGUUGAUACUUCUGUGGCUCCUACUGCUGAUGUGGAGGAGGAUGAUUAUGUGGGAGAUUAUGAGGAUGAGGUUGAUCAAAAUCAGAACUACGUGCCACCACCAGCACAGCAACCACCAGGUCGUCCACAUGCAAAUAAUGGCAAUGGUAGGGCUCACCCUCAGGUACGAGAUCAUGACCAUCUCCCUAAACUAAAAUUGAAUAUUCCACCAUUUGAGGGUAGAUAUGUUCCUGAUAUAUAUCUUACUUGGGAGUUAGAAACUGAACAGCGAUUUACAUGUUUACAAUAUCCCGAGGAGAGACGUGUUCCUGCUGUUGUUUGUGCAUUCACUAGUUUUGCAUGUGUUUGGUGGUCUGAGCAUUGUAGAUUAUAUCCUAUUCUGGCUACUUGGGCUACUUUGAAAACUGCUAUGUGUACUCGUUGGGUUCCACCAUAUUAUCAACGUGAAUUACUUCAAAAAUUGCAGCGCUUAAGACAGGGAAAAAAUUAUGUAGAAGAAUAUUAUCAGGAAUUACAAACUGGCAUGAUUAGAUGUGGUAUUGUUGAGGAGAAUGAAGCUAUGCUUGCACGUUUUAUGGGUGGAUUAAAUAGAGAGAUUCAGACGAUUCUAGAGUAUAAGGAGUAUACUAAUAUCACUCAUUUAUUCCAUCUUGCUUGUAAAGCUGAACGUGAAGUGCAGGAUCGACAGGCAUUGGCGCGGACUAACUUUUCUGCAGGUCGACCUUCAUCAUGGACACCACGUGCAUCAUCUACUUCCACACGUUCUGCUACACCGGCACCUCCGUCGACUGCCACCUCCAACCGUGAUACAAUAAAGCAGGCACAAUCACCACUAUCUGCCAAGAGCACACCUUCUGGGCCUGCAAAGAGCUCUUCUUCAUCCAUGGCAUCAACAGGGCAAACACAUGAUAUUAUUUGUCGACGUUGCAAGGGUGGAGGUCAUUAUGCGAGAGAAUGCCCAUCUAAGCGUGUGAUGAUUGUUACUGAGGAUGGUGGGUAUGAGUCCUCUAGUGACUAUGAUGAGGAGACUUUGGCUCUUAUUACACGUGAAGAACACGGUGGAGACGAUUCUGAUCAUGAGACGCAAUACAUGGCUCCUGAAGAUGCUGACAGGUAUGAAUGUUUAGUUGCUCAACGUGUUUUGAGUGUGCAGGUUACACAAGCUGAGCAAAAUCAGAGGCAUAAUUUGUUCCAUACAAAGGGAGUUGUGAAGGAACGUUCUGUUCGCGUGAUCAUAGAUGGAGGGAGCUGCAAUAACUUGGCUAGCAUGGAGAUGGUGGAGAAGCUAUCUCUCACCACAAGACCACAUCCACAUCCUUACUACAUCCAAUGGUUCAACAACAGCGGCAAGGUUAAGGUAACACGUACUGUUCGUGUGCAUUUUAGUAUCUCUACAUAUGCUGACUAUGUUGAUUGUGAUGUGGUACCUAUGCAAGCAUGUUCCUUAUUACUUGGUAGACCAUGGCAAUUUGAUAAAAAUUCUGUACACCAUGGUAGAAACAAUCAGUAUACUCUUGUUCAUAACGAUAAAAAUAUUACUUUGCUUCCUAUGACUCCUGAUUCCAUUUUGAAAGAUGAUAUUAAUAGAGCUAAUAAAGCAAAACAGGAGACAAAUAAGAGUGAAAAUCAGAUUGUGGCAAAAGAAUUUGAGCACCAAAUGAAGCCUAAUAAUAAACCAUCUACUGUUGUUUCUGAAAUUAAAUUGAAAAGUGCAUGUUUACUUGCCACCAAAUCUGAUAUUGAUGAGCUAGAUUUUAGCAAAUCUGUUUGCUAUGCUUUUGUGUGCAAAGAGGCAUUAUUUUCAUUCGAGGACGUGCCUUCCUCUUUGCCCCCUACUGUCACUAACAUUUUGCAGGAGUUCACUGACGUCUUUCCACAAGACGUGCCACCGGGAUUACCACCUAUUCGAGGGAUUGAGCAUCAAAUUGACUUAAUUCCCGGUGCUUCGCUACCCAACCAUGCACCAUACCGUACCAAUCCAGAGGAGACGAAGGAAAUUAUGCGUCAAGUACAAGAACUGCUCGACAAAGGUUAUAUACGCGAAUCCCUUAGUCCUUGUGUUGUUCCUAUCAUUUUAGUGCCGAAGAAGGAUGGUAUGUAGCAUAUGUGCGUUGAUUGUAGAGGCAGUAAUAAUAUUACUAUUCGUUAUCGUCAUCCUAUUCCUAGGCUAGAUGAUAUGCUUGAUGAAUUGAGUGGCUCUACAAUAUUCUCCAAAGUUGAUUUGCGUAGUGGAUACCAUCAAAUUCGUAUGAAAUUGGGUGAUGAAUGGAAAACAGCAUUUAAAACUAAGUUUGGAUUAUAUGAGUGGUUAGUCAUGCCUUUUGGGUUAACUAAUGCACCUAGUACUUUCAUGAGGUUAAUGAACGAAGUUUUACGUGCUUUCAUUGGACGAUUUGUGGUAGUUUACUUUGAUGACAUAUUGAUUUAUAGCUAAUCUUUGGAGGAACAUUUGGAACAUUUACGUGCUGUUUUUAUUGCUCUACAUGAUGCACGUUUGUUUGGAAACCUUGGAAAGUGCACCUUUUGCACCGACCGAGUAUCUUUUCUUGGCUAUGUUGUUACUCCACAGGGAAUUGAAGUUGAUAAAGCCAAGAUUGAAGCUAUUGAGAGUUGGCGGCAGCCCAAAACGGUCACACAAGUGAGGAGUUUCCUUGGCCUCGCUGGUUUCUAUAGGCGUUUUGUGAGAGAUUUCAGCACCAUUGCUACACCUCUCAACGAGCUUACAAAGAAGGAUGUGCCUUUUGUUUGGGGUACCACACAGGAAGAAGCCUUCACGGUAUUGAAAGAUAAGUUGACACAUGCUCCUUUACUCCAACUUCCUAAUUUCAAUAAGACUUUUGAGCUUGAAUGUGAUGCUAGUGGAAUUGGAUUAGGAGGUGUAUUAUUACAAGAUGGAAAACCUGUUGCAUACUUUUCUGAAAAAUUGAGUGGGCCUAGUCUGAACUAUUCUACUUAUGAUAAAGAAUUAUAUGCUCUUGUUCGGACCUUAGAAACAUGGCAACAUUAUUUAUGGCCCAAGGAAUUUGUUAUACAUUCUGAUCAUGAAUCUUUGAAACACAUUAAAAGUCAAGCAAAACUGAACCGUAGACAUGCUAAAUGGGUUGAAUUCAUUGAGACUUUCCCUUAUGUCAUUAAACACAAGAAGGGUAAAGAAAAUGUUAUUGCUGAUGCCUUGUCUCGUCGUUAUACUAUGCUUUCACAACUUGACUUUAAAAUAUUUGGUUUGGAGACCAUCAAAGAUCAAUAUGUUCAUGAUGCUGAAUUUAAAGAUGUAUUGCAGAAUUGUAAGGAAGGGAGAACUUGGAACAAGUUCAUUCUUAACGAUGGAUUUGUGUUUCGUGCUAACAAGCUAUGCAUUCCAGCUAGCUCCGUUUGUCUUUUGUUGUUGCAGGAGGCGCAUGGAGAGGAUUAAUGGGACACUUUGGCAUCAAGAAUACGGAGGAUAUACUUGCUACACAUUUCUUUUGGCCAAAGAUGAGAUGGGAUGUUGAGCGUUUUGUUGCUCGCUGCACUACAUGUCAAAGAGCUAAGUCACGACUCAAUCCUCAUGGUUUAUAUAUGCCUUUGCCUGUACCUAGUGUUCCUUGGGAGGAUAUAUCUAUGGACUUUGUUUUAGGUUUACCUCGAACAAAGAAGGGGAGGGAUAGCAUAUUUGUUGUCGUGGAUAGGUUCUCAAAAAUGGCACACUUUAUACCAUGUCAUAAAAGCGAUGAUGCUGUUAAUGUUGCUGAUUUGUUCUUUCGUGAAAUUAUUCGCUUACAUGGUGUGCCAAAUACUAUUGUUUUAGAUCGUGAUACUAAAUUUCUUAGCCACUUUUGGAGAUGUUUAUGGGCUAAGUUGGGGACUAAGCUGCUUUUUAGUACUACUUGUCACCCCCAAACUGAUGGACAAACUGAAGUAGUCAAUAGAACAUUGUCUACUAUGCUUAGGGCUGUUUUGAAGAAUAACAAGAAAAUGUGGGAAGAAUGCUUGCCUCAUAUUGAAUUUGCUUAUAAUCGUUCAUUGCAUUCUACUACUAAGAUGUGCCCUUUUGAAAUUGUGUAUGGUUUCCUACCUCGUGCACCUAUUGAUUUGUUGCCUCUUCCAUCUUCAGAGAAGGUUAAUUUUGAUGCUAAAGAACGUUCUGAAUUGAUUUUAAAAAUGCAUGAGUUAACUAAGGAAAACAUUGAGCGUAUGAAUGCUAAAUAUAAACUUGCUGGAGAUAAGGGUAGAAAACAUGUUGUGUUUGCGCCUGGAGAUCUUGUUUGGUUACAUUUGCGUAAAGAUAGAUUUCCUAAUCUGCGCAAAUCAAAGCUAAUGCCACGUGUUGAUGGUCCUUUUAAGGUGUUAGAGAAAAUAAAUGAUAAUGCAUAUAAACUUGAGCUACCUGUAGAUUUGGGGGUUAGUCCCACUUUUAACAUUGCAGAUUUGAAGCCUUAUUUGGGUGAGGAAGAUGCGCUUCCGUCGAGGACGACUUCAUUUCAAGAAGGGGAGGAUGAUGAGGACAUAAAUACCAUUGUUACACCCACAGCCCCUACUGUUACAUAUACUGGACCAAUUACUAGAGCUCGUGCACGCCAAUUAAAUUACCAGGUACUUUCGUUUCUUGGUAAUGAUUCUAAUGUUCAUGAGAUUAUGAUGCUGCCUAAAUUGGAUACAUUUGUUUUGCUUACAAAUGAAGGGCCUAGCUUGGAGAAGGAUGAACAUUGGAGCAAGAACACGCAUGGAGUUGAUGGCAUGCGCAAGGGGAUCAAGAACGGAGUUACAAGUGAUGAUUUCAGGACUUUGAAGCCGCCAUAAGGAGUGCAUGAAGCCUUGGACGAAAUAUACAAGAUGCCACUUCAUAAUAUUCGUCCAUAGGCUAUUCUAGGUGCUGCGUCACCUUAUUAAUGGGCCAGGCCCAUGUAAUUUCGAAAUACUUAAGGAUAGGCUAUUUUUAGAGUCCGUAUGUGUGGGGAAAAAAGAGUUAGGGUUGGUUUCGGACCCCACCCUCAAGGGCCACGAAAUUCCCCCCCCCCUCUUCCUCCAUAUAUACAGCCCUUAGGGCGUCGUUUAGACUUUGGGUUUUGUUUAGAUUAAAAGUUCGCCAUAGCUGCAACUUCGCGUACUUCGUUUGUGUCCAACGACCAGACCAAGACGUCACAGAACCCCACCUUGAUCAAUAAAGCUUUCAUCUUAUAUUCGCAAUAUACCAAUUGCAAUCUCAGUUUCUUGCUUGUUCUUCGUUUGCUCGCAGGAAACAGACCCUCGUGGUCAGGUUGAUCGUGCUCCGGCGUGGUCAAUAACCCUCGGAAGUUGGUUUAGCGAUUGCUAAGGCGCGACGUCUCGCACGUUCAUAGUCGGAUCGUCAAGGUCGACUCCCACAGAAAAUGAUAGCCACCAUCUCAUCGAAACAUCGGAACACCUUAGCCUCUAUCAAGUGGUAUCAGAUUUCCAGGUUGCUCGGUGAGAUUUUACAGUUUUUCGUAGAUUAGAUUGAGUCUGUUCUUCAUACCUAUAGUCCACGGAAAAGCCAGAAAAAAAAUUAGGGUUAGUUCAUCAUAUCCGAACCAAUCUAAGCCUUUGCAUAAUCUUUUUAGGGUUUUUGCUUUGUUGAAUUUGCGGUUGCAUCGUCGUGUCAAGUUGCUGGUCUUAGAGUCUAGUCUUUUAGAGUUUCGAGUUCUGGUCAUAAGUUGUCAUGCCGCCGCCGCACCAUCAUCAUCGCCCAUCUACCACUUUUGCUUAUCCGCCACCGCUCUGAAUCCAUAUCCAUAUACCACCACCAAUCCGUAUCCAUAUACCACCACCAAUCUGUAUCCAUAUACCACCACCGCUACCAUAUACCACCACCGCUGCCAUAUACCACAACCAUAUAUCCACCACCAAUCCGAGUUCUUCUCAUAUUAGGUUUGUUCUUGAGAUCAAUCUAAAUUUUGAUUCGUGUUUCCUUGCCUGCGUAGGUCUCGGAAAAAAAAUAAAAAAAGAGUCUAGAGACCCCCGGGCAGUUUUUAGGCCAAAAUUUUCACGGGCAAAUUUUUUUUACUAUCCUAUUUUUAGGCUUUUCUGAGUCUUUUGAGCCACGUGCCAUCAUAGUGAUUUUUUGUCGCACUUCUUCGUCGUCGCUGCCCUGAUUUCCGAAAAAAAAAGUGAAAAAAAAAUUCCGUGCCCAUCCUAUCAGUUUGACGAGGGAAGAGUUUUGAGACACUCGCCAUUAUAGUGAUUUUUCGCAAAAAAAAAGGAGCGCAAAAAAAAGGAGCGCAAAAAAAGAGCGAAAAAAAAGAGUUCCAGAGUGUGCUUUUCCCUUAUUUACGUGCAGCGCCGUGAUUUUGUUAGUGUUCUAGGCUCGCGUCUCUAGCACGGUCUAGCCUAGGACCAGCAUAGUACCGUCGUUGAGCAUUUGUUCAACUUUGCAUCUCUGAAUUGAUUAUUGCUGACCCUUUUUGAUACCAUACUAUAAGCCUUCCCAGCUCCACAUACAUCUACGUCGUGCGUUUGACUCUCCCUGGCAAUCGCUCUAUCCAAGCUUUUGAGAGUUUUGACUACAACGGUUGCCGAUCACCGCCUGCUGCUGGGUAAGAACUGGUAAGAAUUUGAGAUUUGCUUGACGGAUUUGUGACACCCGCCACCACCACCACUUGUUAGUAGUCUGUAGGAUCAUCUUCUUGUGUGUUUCUAUUGCUGCUAACCAUGCCAGAUUCACAAGCCGACGAGACUGACUGGGAGAACUUGACGAACAAGGAGCUUCAUGAUACGUUUCAGCAAAUGAUGAGUGGACAGGUGCAAGAUGUGAUAAACAGAUUUGAAGAGGCCAUGGAGAAGAUAGAUGGCAUGGAGAAGACGUUUGAAACAAAGCUCGAUAACAAGUUUGCUGAAUUGCUUUCGCGUUUUCCACCACCACCAUCGGCUGCUCCUGCCGCACCUCUGCAACAACAGCAACAACAUUGACUACCUCCACAUCGGGAAACAGCCCUCCGCCGAGCGAGCCGUGUCCCUCUUCAGUCGGGCCAAACUGCUGGUGCUGAUGUUGAUACUUCUGUGGCUCCUACUGCUGAUGUGGAGGAGGAUGAUUAUGUGGGAGAUUAUGAGGAUGAGGUUGAUCAAAAUCAGAACUACGUGCCACCACCAGCACAGCAACCACCAGGUCGUCCACAUGCAAAUAAUGGCAAUGGUAGGGCUCACCCUCAGGUACGAGAUCAUGACCAUCUCCCUAAACUAAAAUUGAAUAUUCCACCAUUUGAGGGUAGAUAUGUUCCUGAUAUAUAUCUUACUUGGGAGUUAGAAACUGAACAGCGAUUUACAUGUUUACAAUAUCCCGAGGAGAGACGUGUUCCUGCUGUUGUUUGUGCAUUCACUAGUUUUGCAUGUGUUUGGUGGUCUGAGCAUUGUAGAUUAUAUCCUAUUCUGGCUACUUGGGCUACUUUGAAAACUGCUAUGUGUACUCGUUGGGUUCCACCAUAUUAUCAACGUGAAUUACUUCAAAAAUUGCAGCGCUUAAGACAGGGAAAAAAUUAUGUAGAAGAAUAUUAUCAGGAAUUACAAACUGGCAUGAUUAGAUGUGGUAUUGUUGAGGAGAAUGAAGCUAUGCUUGCACGUUUUAUGGGUGGAUUAAAUAGAGAGAUUCAGACGAUUCUAGAGUAUAAGGAGUAUACUAAUAUCACUCAUUUAUUCCAUCUUGCUUGUAAAGUUGAACGUGAAGUGCAGGAUCGACAGGCAUUGGCGCGGACUAACUUUUCUGCAGGUUGACCUUCAUCAUGGACACCACGUGCAUCAUCUACUUCCACAUGUUCUGCUACACCGGCACCUCCGUCGACUGCCACCUCCAACCGUGAUACAAUAAAGCAGGCACAAUCACCACUAUCUGCCAAGAGCACACCUUCUGGGCCUGCAAAGAGCUCUUCUUCAUCCAUGGCAUCAACAGGGCAAACACAUGAUAUUAUUUGUCGACGUUGCAAGGGUGGAGGUCAUUAUGCGAGAGAAUGCCCAUCUAAGCGUGUGAUGAUUGUUACUGAGGAUGGUGGGUAUGAGUCCUCUAGUGACUAUGAUGAGGAGACUUUGGCUCUUAUUACACGUGAAGAACACGGUGGAGACGAUUCUGAUCAUGAGACGCAAUACAUGGCUCCUGAAGAUGCUGACAGGUAUGAAUGUUUAGUUGCUCAACGUGUUUUGAGUGUGCAGGUUACACAAGCUGAGCAAAAUCAGAGGCAUAAUUUGUUCCAUACAAAGGGAGUUGUGAAGGAACGUUCUGUUCGCGUGAUCAUAGAUGGAGGGAGCUGCAAUAACUUGGCUAGCAUGGAGAUGGUGGAGAAGCUAUCUCUCACCACAAGACCACAUCCACAUCCUUACUACAUCCAAUGGUUCAACAACAGCGGCAAGGUUAAGGUAACACGUACUGUUCGUGUGCAUUUUAGUAUCUCUACAUAUGCUGAUUAUGUUGAUUGUGAUGUGGUACCUAUGCAAGCAUGUUCCUUAUUACUUGGUAGACCAUGGCAAUUUGAUAAAAAUUAUGUACACCAUGGUAGAAACAAUCAGUAUACUCUUGUUCAUAACGAUAAAAAUAUUACUUUGCUUCCUAUGACUCCUGAUUCCAUUUUGAAAGAUGAUAUUAAUAGAGCUAAUAAAGCAAAACAGGAGACAAAUAAGAGUGAAAAUCAGAUUGUGGCAAAAGAAUUUGAGCACCAAAUGAAGCCUAAUAAUAAACCAUCUACUGUUGUUUCUGAAAUUAAAUUGAAAAGUGCAUGUUUACUUGCCACCAAAUCUGAUAUUGAUGAGCUAGAUUUUAGCAAAUCUGUUUGCUAUGCUUUUGUGUGCAAAGAGGCAUUAUUUUCAUUCGAGGACGUGCCUUCCUCUUUGCCCCCUGCUGUCACUAACAUUUUGCAGGAGUUCACUGACGUCUUUCCACAAGACGUGCCACCGGGAUUACCACCUAUUCGAGGGAUUGAGCAUCAAAUUGACUUAAUUCCCGGUGCUUCGCUACCCAACCGUGCACCAUACCGUACCAAUCCAGAGGAGACGAAGGAAAUUAUGCGUCAAGUACAAGAACUGCUCGACAAAGGUUAUAUACGCGAAUCCCUUAGUCCUUGUGUUGUUCCUAUCAUUUUAGUGCCGAAGAAGGAUGGUAUGUAGCGUAUGUGCGUUGAUUGUAGAGGCAUUAAUAAUAUUACUAUUCGUUAUCGUCAUCCUAUUCCUAGGCUAGAUGAUAUGCUUGAUGAAUUGAGUGGCUCUACAAUAUUCUCCAAAGUUGAUUUGCGUAGUGGAUACCAUCAAAUUCGUAUGAAAUUGGGUGAUGAAUGGAAAACAGCAUUUAAAACUAAGUUUGGAUUAUAUGAGUGGUUAGUCAUGCCUUUUGGGUUAACUAAUGCACCUAGUACUUUCAUGAGGUUAAUGAACGAAGUUUUAUGUGCUUUCAUUGGACGAUUUGUGGUAGUUUACUUUGAUGACAUAUUGAUUUAUAGCAAAUCUUUGGAGGAACAUUUGGAACAUUUACGUGCUGUUUUUAUUGCUCUACAUGAUGCACGUUUGUUUGGAAACCUUGUAAAGUGCACCUUUUGCACCGACCGAGUAUCUUUUCUUGGCUAUGUUGUUACUCCACAGGGAAUUGAAGUUGAUAAAGCCAAGAUUGAAGCUAUUGAGAGUUGGCCGCAGCCCAAAACGGUCACACAAGUGAGGAGUUUCCUUGGCCUCGCUGGUUUCUAUAGGCGUUUUGUGAGAGAUUUCAGCACCAUUGCUACACCUCUCAACGAGCUUACAAAGAAGGAUGUGCCUUUUGUUUGGGGUACCGCACAGGAAGAAGCCUUCACGGUAUUGAAAGAUAAGUUGACACAUGCUCCUUUACUCCAACUUCCUAAUUUCAAUAAGACUUUUGAGCUUGAAUGUGAUGCUAGUGGAAUUGGAUUAGGAGGUGUAUUAUUACAAGAUGGAAAACCUGUUGCAUACUUUUCUGAAAAAUUGAGUGGGCCUAGUCUGAACUAUUCUACUUAUGAUAAAGAAUUAUAUGCUCUUGUUCGGACCUUAGAAACAUGGCAACAUUAUUUAUGGCCCAAGGAAUUUGUUAUACAUUCUGAUCAUGAAUCUUUGAAACACAUUAAAAGUCAAGCAAAACUGAACCGUAGACAUGCUAAAUGGGUUGAAUUCAUUGAGACUUUCCCUUAUGUCAUUAAACACAAGAAGGGUAAAGAAAAUGUUAUUGCUGAUGCCUUGUCUCGUCGUUAUACUAUGCUUUCACAACUUGACUUUAAAAUAUUUGGUUUGGAGACCAUCAAAGAUCAAUAUGUUCAUGAUGCUGAAUUUAAAGAUGUAUUGCAGAAUUGUAAGGAAGGGAGAACUUGGAACAAGUUCAUUCUUAACGAUGGAUUUGUGUUUCGUGCUAACAAGCUAUGCAUUCCAGCUAGCUCCGCUCGUCUUUUGUUGUUGCAGGAGGCGCAUGGAGGAGGAUUAAUGGGACACUUUGGCGUCAAGAAUACGGAGGAUAUACUUGCUACACAUUUCUUUUGGCCAAAGAUAAGACGGGAUGUUGAGCGUUUUGUUGCUCGCUCCACUACAUGUCAAAGAGCUAAGUCACGACUUAAUCCUCAUGGUUUAUAUAUGCAUUUGCCUGUACCUAGUGUUCCUUGGGAGGAUAUAUCUAUGGACUUUGUUUUAGGUUUACCUCGAACAAAGAAGGGGAGGGAUAGCAUAUUUGUUGUCGUGGAUAGGUUCUCAAAAAUGGCACACUUUAUACCAUGUCAUAAAAGCGAUGAUGCUGUUAAUGUUGCUGAUUUGUUCUUUCGUGAAAUUAUUCGCUUACAUGGUGUGCCAAAUACUAUUGUUUUAGAUCGUGAUACUAAAUUUCUUAGCCACUUUUGGAGAUGUUUAUGGGCUAAGUUGGGGACUAAGCUGCUUUUUAGUACUACUUGUCACCCCCAAACUGGUGGACAAACUGAAGUAGUCAAUAGAACAUUGUCUACUAUGCUUAGGGCUGUUUUGAAGAAUAACAAGAAAAUGUGGGAAGAAUGCUUGCCUCAUAUUGAAUUUGCUUAUAAUCGUUCAUUGCAUUCUACUACUAAGAUGUGCCCUUUUGAAAUUGUGUAUGGUUUCCUACCUCGUGCACCUAUUGAUUUGUUGCCUCUUCCAUCUUCAGAGAAGGUUAAUUUUGAUGCUAAAGAACGUUCUGAAUUGAUUUUAAAAAUGCAUGAGUUAACUAAGGAAAACAUUGAGCGUAUGAAUGCUAAAUAUAAACUUGCUGGAGAUAAGGGUAGAAAACAUGUUGUGUUUGCGCUUGGAGAUCUUGUUUGGUUACAUUUGCGUAAAGAUAGAUUUCCUAAUCUGCGCAAAUCAAAGCUAAUGCCACGUGCUGAUGGUCCUUUUAAGGUGUUAGAGAAAAUAAAUGAUAAUGCAUAUAAACUUGAGCUACCUGUAGAUUUGGGGGUUAGUCCCACUUUUAACAUUGCAGAUUUGAAGCCUUAUUUGGGUGAGGAAGAUGCGCUUCCGUCGAGGACGACUUCAUUUCAAGAAGGGGAGGAUGAUGAGGACAUCAAUACCAUUGUUACACCCACAGCCCCUACUGUUACAUAUACUGGACCAAUUACUAGAGCUCGCGCACGCCAAUUAAAUUACCAGGUACUUUCGUUUCUUGGUAAUGAUUCUAAUGUUCAUGAGAUUAUGAUGCUGCCUAAAUUGGAUACAUUUGUUUUGCUUACAAAUGAAGGGCCUAGCUUGGAGAAGGAUGAACAUUGGAGCAAGAACACGCAUGGAGUUGAUGGCAUGCGCAAGGGGAUCAAGAACGGAGUUACAAGUGAUGAUUUCAGGACUUUGAAGCCGCCAUAAGGAGUGCAUGAAGCCUUGGACGAAAUAUACAAGAUGCCACUUCAUAAUAUUCGUCCAUAGGCUAUUCUAGGUGCUGCGUCACCUUAUUAAUGGGCCAGGCCCAUGUAAUUUCGAAAUACUUAAGUAUAGGCUAUUUUUAGAGUCCGUAUGUGUGGGGAAACAAGAGUUAGGGUUGGUUUCGGACCCCACCCUCAAGGGCCACGAAAUUCCCCCCCUCUUCCUCCAUAUAUACAGACCUUAGGGCGUCGUUUAGACUUUGGGUUUUGUUUAGAUUAAAAGUUCGCCAUAGCUGCAACUUCGCGUACUUCGUUUGUGUCCAACGACCAGACCAAGACGUCACAGAACCCCACCUUGAUCAAUAAAGCUUUCAUCUUAUAUUCGCAAUAUCCCAAUUGCAAUCUCAGUUUCUUGCUUGUUCUUCGUUUGCUCGCAGGAAACAGACCCUCGUGGUCAGGUUGAUCAUGCUCCGGCGUGGUCAAUAACCCUCGGAAGUUGGUUUAGCGAUUGCUAAGGCGCGACGUCUCGCACGUUCGUAGUCGGAUCGUCAAGGUCGACUCCCACAGAAAACGAUAGCCACCAUCUCAUCGAAACAUCGGGACACCUUAGCCUCUAUCAAGAAACCUGGCCACUACAUCUCUGAGUGUCCGCAGUGGGACAAUGAGAACAAGAAGAAGAAGAAGAAGAAGAAGAAGAAGAAGAAGAGCAAGGAGUAUGACUCUGACGACAAGAAGAAGAAGAAAUACUCAAAGUCUUCUUUCAAGUCUUCCUCCAAGUCUUCAUCACACGAGAAGAGCUCAUCUGGCAAGGCACGUGCGUUUGUUGGCAAGGAAAUGGAUUUAGAGGAGGAGUCCGCUUCUGAGGAGGCGGAGGUGGAGUCUGAGGAGGAGUCUGAUUCUGGUGUUGCGAGUCUGGCUACAGCAUACGUUGCCAAGUCCAUCUUCAACACUGAAGACAAUGACUUCAUCACCGACAUCGAUGCAAAUGACAAGGACUACUCCACUCCUACCUACUGCUUCAUGGCACGCGGUGCUAAGGUAAACACACGCACUACUCACUAUCAAACAUCUAGUGAAGAUGACUCUGAUUGUGGUUCCAAAUCCAGCUACAAAACACUUGCUAAAAUUGCAACUGAACAACAGAAAGCUAUGGAACAUAUUCAAAAACUAUUAGACAAAAGUGAUGAUCUGUUAGACGCUGAAAUGACUCGAUCUCGGUCCUUAAUUGAAGACAUAAAAAAUCUUCAUGUUAAGUAUGAGGAACUUGAAAGUCGUCAUGAAUCGCUCUCAACAACUCAUGAAAAUCUUUCCUAUGAUUAUCUUCAAAGGAAGCAAGAUCUUGAGAAAUUGAGAGCGGCUCAUGAAGAUCUUCAAAAGGAAAAGGAGUCACUUCGCGCCGAACAGAUCAGUUCCGCUCAGGAAGGAUUUGAACCACCAUGUCUUAAAUGCAUUGAGCGUGAUAACGCUACUUCUGUUGCUGAAUGUUCUACUGCUGCUACUGUUGCAAUAUCUUCAACUGCUGAUGUGGUAACUAACCCCUCUGCUGAGGAUGCCACUGCUAUUGCUGAUGAGAAUGCUAGGUUGAAGACGUUGCUUGAAACAGGGAUGUACAAAAGUCUCAAAGGGCAUCAGACACUAUGUGAUGUCCUCAAAAGGCAGAUCCUGAACCAAAACCCUAGGAAAGAGGGUGUUGGGUUCGAAAGGAAAAUGAAUGAUGAUGGCUCUUACUGGAAACCUGAGCAGUACCCCAAAACCACAUGGGUUGCUGCAAAGGGACCUUCAGUGGAUCCAUCCACCCUAUCUGGCUUCACUUAUGCUAAUCCCAUUGUUAUUGAUGAAUCCUUUGAUGCAAACUAUAAACUGUUUAAGAAUCAGAAUGGUGAAGUGUUUGCCAGGUAUAUUGGUACUAACUACAGGAAUGGGCCGCCUAUGAAGAAGGUCUGGGUGCCGAAAAGGUGUUUGGAGAAUCUUCCUGUGAAUGUCGUCAUGACACCACAAAUGAAGAAGACAAACCCCAAACCACAGGCUUCAUACGGCCCAAAGGCUUCAUACAGACAGAGGACUCACCUGAGUCGCACUAACGCAAAUGUUUUGCAGGGAAACCAUACUCAGGCCUAUGAAUAUGAGCGCGGUUCAUCAAACCGCCAUGUUCAUAAGACCAAGAACUAUUCUGCUUAUUCUUAUGAGUACUAUUGUCCACCUGCAAGACUUUUUGCUAGGGCUCCAAAGCCAAAGUUCUCAGAUGCUGCACUCAGACUCAUUGCUUCGAAGCCACCCUUGAAUAUGUGGGUGGCUAAGAAAGCUUAACUCUCUUUUGCAGGGAAAGGUCUCCAGCCGAAAACCAAAAUCGCCUGACGCUAUUGCUGGGGACCUUAAACAUCUUGUAGGGCGCAAGAUCAAAUGCCCAAAUGGACUUAUUAUGUACUUUGUUCCUGAGUCACUUGCCACUUGCUCUAUCAGUCCUAACCUUGAUUUAAGCUUUCAUAAUCCACUUGUUCGUCAAAUGUUUAUGCUUCACAAUUCUCUUCGUGAAGCCUAUCCCCCUAACUGCACUGUAGGGUACGACACCAGCUGCUUCAGAAUGGAUUAUUGAUAGUGGGUGUACUAAUCACAUGACUGGCAAGCGAAGCCUUCUCAUGGACUCAACCUUACGUCCAUCUGACAAAAGUCACAUCACAUUUGCUGACACUAGUAAAAGCAAGGUAUUGGGUCUAGGUAGAGUUGCAAUCUCAAAGGAUCAACACAUGGAUAAAGUCAUGCUUGUUGAAUCCCUUGGUUUCAACUUAAUGUCUGUCUCAAUGCUUUGCGAUUUAAACAUGAUUGUGAUGUUUGGAAAAUAUCAUUGCCUUGUUCUAAUGGAAUCUGACAAGUCUCUAGUGUUUGAAGGGUAUCAAAAAGAUGAUUUGUACGUGGUAGAUUUCUCAGCAGGACCACAACUUGCCGUAUGUCUUCUAGCAAAAGCUUCUGAAUGAUAGCUCUGGCAUCGGAGGCUAGGGCAUGCUGGCAUGAGGAACCUCCACACCCUUGCAAGGAAGAAGCAUGUCAUAGGCAUCGAGGGCGUCAAGUUCAAGAAAGAACACUUAUGCGGUGCAUGUGAAGCAGGAAAGAUGACGAGGGCCAAGCAUCCCUCGAAGACAAUCAUGACAACGACUCAACCCUUCGAACUGCUCCACAUGGAUCUUUUCAGUCCCACUCAUUACUCAACUCUUACUACUACUGCUUGUCUCUAUGGCUUUGUCAUUGUUGAUGAUUAUUCAAGAUAUACCUGGGUGCAUAUAAUCCUCUACAAGACAGAAGUGCAGGAUGUCUUCAGACGCUUCGCCAAUCGAGCCAUGAACAACUAUGGCGUCAAGAUCAAGCACAUCAGAAGUGACAAUGGCACUGAAUUCAAGAACACUGGUCUAGACACUUAUCUUGAUACUUUGGGCAUUACACAUGAAUUCUCAGCUUCGUACACACCGCAGCAGAAUGGCGUAGUGGAACGCAAGAACAGAACACUUAUUGAGAUGGCCCGGACGAUGCUUCAUGAAUACAAGACUCCAAGAAAGUUCUGGCCUGAAGCCAUUGAUACUGCAUGCCAUAUCAUCAACCGUGUUUAUCUUCACAAGCUUCUCAACAAGACAUCCUAUGAGCUCCUUACUGGCAAGAAGCCAAAUGUCAGUUACUUCAGAGUAUUUGGUGCCAGGUGCUGGAUCAAGGAUCCACAUCACACUUCAAAAUUUGCACCAAAAGCACAUGAGGGUUUUAUGCUUGGAUAUGGAAAGGAUUCGCACUCCUACAAAGUCUUCAACCUUUUUCACUAUAAAAUGGUUGAAACAGUGGAUGUGUGGUUCGAUGAGACUAACGGCUCACAAAGAGAGCACCUGCCAAAUGUGCUAGAUGAAGUUCCGUCCAGUGAAUCAAUCAAACUUAUGGGAACUGGAGAAAUCAUACCAUCUGAAUCUCAGCCUGAAGAGGAACUUAUCAUCUCCGCACCUGAUCAAACUGAAGACAAUGCUCAGCCUGAAGACAAUCCUUUUAACGAUGACAAUGAUUAGCAAGAGCAAAAUCUUCGUCCUGUACAUCCUCAUGUUGCAAAUGAAGUACAGAUUGAGAGAAUAAUUGAUAGCAUCAAUGCACCAGGUCCACUCACUUGUUCAAGGGCAACACAGCUAGCAAAUUUCUGUGGGCACUUUGCAUUUGUCUCAAUAUCUGAACCCAAGAAAGUUGAAGAAGCCUUCAUGGAACCCGAAUGGAUUCAAGCUAUGCAAGAAGAGCUUCAAUAGUUUGAGCUGAAUAAUGUAUGGGAACUGGUUAAGCGUCCUGAUCCUCGCAAGCACAAUAUAAUAGGCACCAAAUGGAUAUAUCGCAACAAGCAAGAUGAGCAUGGUCAAGUUGUCAGAAACAAAGCUCGUCUCGUUGCUCAAGGCUACACUCAAGUUGAAGGGAUUGACUUCGAUGAAACAUUUGCUCCUGUGGCCAGACUUGAAGCCAUACGCAUACUGCUGGCCUAUGCAAAUCAUCAUAACAUUCUUCUGUAUCAAAUGGAUGUGAAGAGCGCUUUUCUCAAUGGCAAGAUUGAAGAAGAAGUGUAUGUUGCACAACCGCUUGGCUUUGAAGAUCCAAAACAUCCUGACAUGGUGUACAAGCUCAACAAGGCACUAUAUGGCCUCAAACAAGCCCCUCGGGCUUGGUAUGACACACUCAAAGACUUCCUGAAGAGCAAAGGCUUCAAACCUGGUUCCCUCGAACCCACUCUCUUCAUGAAGACAUAUGAUGGUGAACUAUUUGUGUGCUAAAUAUAUGUGGAUGACAUUAUCUUCGGCUGCACCAAUCAGAAAUACAGUGAAGAGUUUGGAUAUAUGAUGCAAGAGCAAUAUCAGAUGUCCAUGAUGGGUGAGCUGAAGUUCUUCCUUGGUCUUCAAAUACGUCAGCAACGCAACGGCAUCUUCAUAUCUCAAGAGAAGUACCUCAAAGAUUGCCUGAAGAAAUUUGGGAUGCAAGAUUGCAAAGGCUACACGACGCCAAUGCCAGCCAAACAUCAUCUGGGUCCCGACGACAAUGGUAAAGAGUUCGAUCAAAAGGUAUACCGCUCCAUGAUUGGUUCUUUACUUUAUCUAUGUGCAUCUAGGCCAGAUAUUAUGCUUAGUGUUUGCAUGUGUGCUCGAUUCCAAGCGGCACCAAAGGAAUCGCAUCACUUAGCUGUGAAGCGAAUUCUUCGAUAUUUGGCUUACACCCCAACAUUAGGACUAUGGUAUCCAAAGGGCUCAGAGUUUGAUCUGGUUGGAUUCUCGAAUGCUGAUUAUGCUGGUGACAAGGUGGAUCGCAAGUCUACAUCAGGCACAUGUCAUUUUCUGGGACGAUCACUUGUAUGUUGGUCUUCAAAGAAGCAGAACUAUGUAUCUCUCUCCACUGCUGAAUCUGAAUACAUUGCUGCUGGAUCUUGCUGCGCUCAGCUUCUAUGGAUGAAGCAAACACUCAAAGACUAUGGCAUUCAUCUGAAGCAAGUGCCACUCUACUGCGACAACGAAAGCGCCAUCAAGAUUGCCAACAACCCAGUUCAGCACUCGAAGACAAAGCACAUUGAAAUUCGUCAUCACUUUCUCAGAGAUCAUGUUGUGAAGGAAGAUAUUGAUAUCAUACACGUCAACACUGAAGAGCAAUUGGCAGAUAUCUUCACCAAGCCCUUGGAUGAGAAGAGGUUUUGCAAGUUACGGUGUGAGCUAAAUAUCUUGGAAUCCUCAAAUGUCCUGUGAUCAGGCACACAUCCUAACACUUAUGCAUAUUGAUGACUUAGAUGUGCAACACACGAAGUAAAGUAUAUCUUCAAUCAAUGAAGACUUACAUUUUAAGUGUGAAUACAUUAAUGUGGAAUUUGACUUCGGAGCGCCACGAUAAUUGUGCGCAGUGUCUGGGUCUAAUACUUCCUAUACGGUGGGUAACGCCACCACCAAAUUUUUCUGUUUGAAGUGUUUCACUCAUGGUGUUACGUCUGGUAUGUCUUCACAUUUGGUUUGGCUUCAAUCUCAACUUGUCUUCAUGAUUAUCUUCACUAUGUUGAUUUGAUUGUCUUUCUCAUAUAUAUAUAUAUAUAUAUAUAUAUAUAUAUAUAUAUAUACUAGUGUUCUAUCCUCUACAGCAUUCACUUAUAGCUAUGUCUUCUUGUUGAAUCUUUUGAACUAAGUGAAUGUGAUCGGACCCUAACCUCUCUAUGCUUUCUAUCUCAAACUCUAUCUCUCCAAAUCAUAUGCAUUCUAUUGAAAUUGUCGAAUAUCUUCUCUGUGUCCUUGUCAGCAGAAGAUACACAGACAAACAUUAAGUCUGUUUUCAAUGCUAAAUCCUUUCACCUGAAACCCAGAGAAGUGGGAACGACCACCCGACAAUCCAGGCGUGCGUGGGAACGUGGAACAACCUCCGAUAUGUUGCAUGAUAGCCACGUGCCCUUCAGAUGUGAAUCGCCAGGGGCACCUGUGUAAUAACAUUGUGCCGUCCUUUCUUCCACUCUCGCACAAACCCUAGCGCCACCACUAGCCCUCGACGACGCCGGCGACGAAGCGCUUAGCUGCCGCGACCUCACUGACGCCGUCUUCACGCCGGCCGCGGACAUCGUCUUCUCCGCCGUCGCCGUAGGUGUCCUCCAUCGCCAAGUUAGAGCAUGGACGAUCGAACUGCUCGGCCUCCUCUCCCACUCCAUCUAGCAGUUCUUUGUGUGGUAAAUAAAACUUCCUUUUUACGGCCCCUUUGAUCCUAUAGAUUCAUCACUUUCUACCACAAGCAGUUUCUGCUCACACAAGUUGGAUCUAUUUCAUACUGCAUCUCAUAAUAUGCCUAGCAUGUUCACUUAUGCUUCACAAAGUAGUUAGAUUCCUCACUUGUACUUAUUCGUGGAUUCGUGCAAAUCUGGAACCAACUCUCUAUCUAUGAGUGAAUGUCUUCGCACUAUGAGGUCAAUGUCUUCUAAACUGAUUUAUCUUCAAAAUCUUCUAAGAAUGCAUAUGACCUCUUCCCCUUCCCUCGCACCUUAAUGCUGUCACAGGUACAUGUCCGUGGGAGAAUCCUUUGGUUCUCAUAGUCUGCAUUCAUUUGCAGAAUUCUUACAGAAUCAUAUAAAUUCUCCCAAAGCCAGUUCCUAUUUGACCAGCAAGCGGAAGCCUUUGAAACAUUUGAACGUUUUGAAGCCAUUCAGUUUGAAGUUCAUGGCUACAGAGAAAUCAGCAAGGAAGGGUGGCAGACAACGUCGAGGGGGAACAUCAAGAGAUCUGCCUGAUGACCUCUCAGAGUUGUACAAGACAGAUCCAGAAGAGGAUUACAAUCAGCGCAAGACACGAAUCCAAUGGGUUCGAAGAUACUGGGCCGAGCAAUGGUUCAAGUACAAGUUUGUGACCCAAGAAUAUGCUGAGAAGAAUGCCAUCAAGCGACCAUGGGGAGACAUCCUAUACAAAAAUCUUCAACCCAGGUCCAGAGAUGAAGCCAUUGAACAAGGCUUCUAUCCCUACAUGGUCUGUGGACCACAGCCUGCGGAUGCAGACCCAUCGUCAUUGCUAUGGUGUCGUGACGACAAUCUGUUCAAGCGCAACUUCCAGUUUGCCAAGAAUUCGGCUAAGCAAAACAAGAAGUCAUUGUGACUAGACUUCAACCCUAGUCCUUCUGCUCCCCAUGCCGAUGGCACCCGCGAAGCUGAGCCCAAUCUUGUUGGGCCCUUCUACAACCUGGAAGGUGUCAUCACUCAUAUCAUGGUUCAAGGGACAGCCGUGGAUGAGCCUGCAAAUGACGCUGAAUCUGAUGAAGCGCCUGCACCGCCGAAGCCAAAGAAACUGAAGAAGCCUAAAGCUUCAAAGUCUACCUCAGCACCAAAAAUCUCACGUGCGAAGCCUCUGGCCACUGCACCUCCUGAACACAGUGUGCAGUCUGAAGAUUUGCCACGCAUCUCCAAGCCCUCGAGAGUAAAGAUGCCCUUGCAACCCGCCAGCCAAGAACUGACUGCUGCUGCUAUUCUGUGCAACGACGCCAUUGAUCUGUCCAGCGAUGAAGAUCUUGCAGAUGACGCUCUUGAGCAACUGAUUAAGAGCAAGGAAGAAGCAAAAAUCUUCAAUGAUUUGCCUCUCUUUGACGUGGCAAUCAUCCACAACUUCAUUGAUGAGUGGUUUGACACGCCCAACCUCAGCUUUGAAGAUCUGCAACUUCCAAUUGGCCUCAGUGUCGCCUUCACUGGCGCCAUUGCUUCUGAGCUAGAUCUAGCUCAGCGCAUCGUUGAACUAAAGCAAAAGAUCGACUAUGAGAAAGCUCAGUUCAAGAAGCACAUGGCCAAGCUCAGUGUGCAAGAUGUGAAAAACUUCAAGAUUAUGUUGCACGAGCUCAAGGAAGCCUUUCUCAAGAAGCGUGAAGAAGCUAAAGGUUCUCGUGAGCGCAUGAAGAGCCUGGCUGACAAGUGUGUGCAAGCCUACAAUGAGGCUGAGAAGCGCAAGGCUCUUGGACGUCCUGGCAUCGAUCCUAGGAUGGCUGCAAAGAAGAAGAAGAAGCCAACUGUGGCCGAACCCGAAGCAACAAGGCAGGAAGCACAUCCCAUUGUCUUCCCAGCCAGUAUGAUAGGCUCGAAGCCUAAGGUCCCCACAGUGGCUUCAGAAUUAAAGAAGGCAAGGGCUGCCAAGGCUGAAGCUAGAAAGAGGAAGAAUCCUGAAGCUUCUGAUGUCGCUCCCUCUAAGAAGAAGCGCAAAACCAAGAAGGAUCGGGCUGCUCCCACAGAGCCCUUAGUUGUUGAACCUAUCUCAAUGGUUCGCCCUACAUCUAAACACCACGAGCGCCAACUGAUUGUUCAUGAGCCUGCUUCCACAGAGGUUCCUGAAGCUGAAGACAUUCCAGCAGCUGACCCCACCGCUGCUGAAGACAUUGGUCAUCAUGACAAUGUUGAAGAUGAUGAAGUCCUUCCUCAGAUCGAGCACCAAUUGGUAUCAUGGCCUGUGCUUACGGACAUCGAACUCAUCAGCAUUGGUCGUCCUCUGACGCCAACUGCUCAGGAUGCAUCAUGGGCUGAUCACCCACAACAACAAGACACCCCGAGUACUCCCCAACAGCAAGUCACACCACCCGUGCAAGAAGAAGAAGAUGACCUUGAGGCCCAGCCAACUCCAUCUCCAAUGAUGUCGCCAGUGUUACACAGGCUUCGCAAAGGACCAAGGCCUCAAGUCCCUCUUUCGAGCGUUCUAGAAGGAGAAGUGCACCACCAAUCUGUUGCACGUCAAGUGUUUCCAGUGCCACUCCUACUGUGACUGUCUCUGAAUUCGAAGCCAAAAUGGUUGAAGAUGUUCCGGCUGCAUCAACCGAUGAAGAAAAAGCCCCAAGAGUUGCUACACCCCCGUCUCACCAAGAUGUUGUUCUCGAGGAGAAUGUGACCGACCCUCUAGCUUCUGAAGUGGAGGUUAACAACCCUGAGGUGGCCACCAACAUCACCGCUGACGCCAAUGACGUUGUCAUGGCUGAAGCCAAUGAGGCGCCCGAAGCCAAUGAGGCGCCAGAAGUCAAUGCCAAUGCCCCUAUUCCCCCUUCAAGACCUCACACAAUGGAGCUGGCAUUUGAUCGUGGUCAGCCAGUUAUGGUUCGAUGGCCCAUUCUGACUCCUCCGCCUACUGCUGGUCCACAAUUUGAGUACCAUGUUGAGCACAGGCCUCAAGUCCAAAAGCCCAAGCCAAGACUUCCACGAUUCCCAGGCACUGCCACUUCACCUGGGGUCUUCAAUGCGAAUGGCUUCGUGGCACAUAAUACCUUCUUCAACAGCUCCAAGAACCCCUAUACAAGACCGCGCAUUUCCUCAGAUCGGUUCUAGAGCUAUCAGCAGCGCAGCUACUAUUCAUGUGUCCUAUACAAUCAGGGGCGCAUAUUUCCACAUAUGCGCCUCGACUCUGAAGCUAUAGCUGGUCUGCCCUGCCUCAAAGAAGCACUGGACUGUUUCAGAGAUGCUGGUCUGUUGCGGUUCAUCACUGACAAGGAGCACUGGAACGAAGAAUUGUUGCUUCAAUUCUAUGCCACUCUUCAUAUUCGAGGCUACAACAGGGAUCCGAAGACUUGGGUCCUUGAGUGGAUGACAGGCAAUGUCCAUCAUGAAGCUAAAGCUCUUGAUAUCAUUGAGCUCACAGGACUGCACACUCCUGGUGAAUACUAUGAACCAGGUUGUCAACAACAUCAAAAUGCCUUGGAAAGCAUCUUUCAGAAGCCAGAACCCAACAUGAGUCAAAUGCUGAGCAUGAUGAAGCCUUUGCCUCAUGACGCUGAAUACCCAUCUGAGUUCUUUAUUGAAGACCUAGAGUACUUGCCUCGCACCAUUUACCACAUCAUCAGGAAGACUCUAUGGCCUGUCAAAGGACACUCAUCUGCAGUGAAGCUUGAAGGAGCAAUGAAGACUUUGGUUUUCUAUAUCUUCAAUGGCAUCAGCUUCAAUGCUCAAGACUUCUUCAUCAGGCAGUUGGUUGCGUCUGGCUCUGACAUCUUCGGGUUGAAAUUCUAUGCUCCAUGGGUCAUGCGUCUGAUCAAGCGUCACUCGGCUUUCAACUAUCAGCCGUCUGCGCGCAAUCAUCUUAUAUUCUUGCCCGAGGUUGAUCUGUCAGUUGAAGCCAUUUACCUAGAGCCUGCUAAGGAUCCCAUUUAUCUUCACAAUGCUGAUCACCAAAGCUUCACCCAGCCCAUUGAAGGAAUUCCAGCAGUGUCUCGUGUUUAUCCCCUUGCUGGAAACACACGUGCCCCUCGUGCUCAAACUGAUGCCACUGGUAGCACCAUUGCGCAAAGGCCUCAAAGACAAUCUCGUGUCCUCAAUGACCGAGAGCUUCUCGUCGCGCUGCAGUAGAAACAGGAUAAACAUCACGACUGGCUUAAGCGUCAGAUGCAAAGCCUCUUGGUGGAUGUCAACCGCAUUCGCAAUCUGACCACCAAGAAUGCCUUUGUCACUCAUGAAACCUGUCGGAGGUCAUGGAAGAGUUUGACCCUACUCGGUGCUGAAGCUGAUCUGCAUGACGAUGGCUUCACCGAACGCUUCAAGUUUCACUCAACUCCUUCCAGAAAUGCUCACUUGCGUCGGACUCCCUCACUUGAAGACUCUGAAUACUCGUCCUCAGCUGCGACCGUAAAUGCCAGAGUCAUCGAUGACCAAGAUGAUGCAACUUCACCUCCUCCAACUUCAGCGUGUGUCGACACUGCACCAAGUUCCUCUGCACCACCCGAUCUCAACGACGACCCUGCUGCUUCGCCUGCACCUCAUGGGAACGAGUAGGCGCUCUAUGUCUUCAAACCUUUUUGGUCCUCACUGACAAAAGGGGGAGAAGCAUAUGGGUUGAUAGUCUUCAAGCGGGUCCAUAUGGGUGGUUAAUUUACUUUUUGCUACUUUUGCCAAGUGCUUACAACUCUCGUUUUCAAUACAUUUGGUUCUUUGAGUUGUAACACUUAAACUCGAUGGUCGUCUGCUACUUAUUUCCUAUUCUGUGAUGCGAUGAUAAAUUCCGCAUGUGCGACGAUAAAUUCCGCACUUAGAUCAUGUUGCAGACGUCCAUUUUUCAUUAUGCUUGUCAUUAUCUUCGUUACAUCAUAUCUUGCAUAAUGACUUGUCAUCAUAAGUUGAAGAGGAUCUCCACAAGUACAACCUGCCAUGUGCAUUUGCAUUCCAAAAGCAAAUUACUUAUAUGCACAUCUUCAGGGGGAGCCCUUGCAACUUAUGAAGACAAUACCCUAUCCUUUACGAUUUCACACAUUUUAUUCCCCGUUGAAAACUUCAACCAGUUUGUCAUCAAUCACCAAAAAGGGGGAGAUUGUAAGUGCAUCUAGUGCCACCCCUAGUUGGUUUUGGAGUAUUAACGACAAACCUGGUUGAGGGACUAAUGUGUUUGUGAGAAUUGCAGGAUAACACAGGUAGAAGUCCCUCAUUGAUUCAGUUUUCCUACCAGAGAUGACCCCUAAAAAUGAAUGAAGACAUUGAAGUCAAAGGUGGUAUGUGAAGACAUUCACAUUGAAGACUAUGACAAGAGAAGACAUCGCAUGAAGACUAUGGAGCGCGAAGACUUAGUUGUUUCGUCGUUCUUUUUCUUCUUUGUUGAGUCAUAGGAACCACCGUACUGUUAAGUGGGGUCCAAGUGAACCAGUCAGAAUGACUGAAGUGAUGCUUAACCAAAAUCCUAUGUCUUCGAGUGAAGACUAUGAGAGCAAAUCUUGUCCAGAGUUGGAUAAGCAGCUUUGCUUGUAGCCCAAGUAAAGUUGUCGUGUGUGUUUGAAAUCUGACCGUUGGAACACGUGUCAGUUCCUUAGUGACCAAGGGUCAUUUCGGACAAAUCAGGUCGGGUUGCCUAGUGGCUAUAAAUAGCCCACCCCCUACAACCAUAAACGGUUGGCUGCUCAGAGUUAGAGUACGGCUUUUGUCGUUUGAGAGCAACCCACCUCGAAGCCUUUGAGAGAGAAUUCCUUGCGAGGAUAAAGCCCUAAACACCCAGAGCCAAAGAGUGUUAGGCAUCACUUAAGUCUUCCUGUCUGUGUGAUCUGAAGACUUAUUACACUUGAGGACUGUGAAUCCUCUAGCCGGUUAGGCAUCGUGUUUUGAGCAUCCAAGAGUCAUUGUGGAUCGCCGAUGAACGAAGUCUGUGAAGGUUUGGAAGUCUACCUUGAAGACUUACCAGAGUGAUUGGGCGAGGACUGGGUGUCCUUAGCUCAAGGGGAAUAAGGUGAAGACGAGGUCUUCUGAGUUGAAUCUCAGCCUCCCUAACCAGACGUACAGUUGUCAUAGCAACUGGAACUGGUCCAACAAAUCAUUAUCUUCAACGAGUCACUGGUUUCAUCCUUCCCUUCCCUUUACUUACUGUUGGUCCUGUGAAGUCAUUGUAUGAGUGCAUUAUCUUUUGUCUUCACUGAGUGAAUGCUUGUUCUGAUUGGCUUCACAAUAUCUUCCUACCUGAUCCUUACUGCCUAGCUGCUAUUGGUCAUUGUGCUUUCACUUCAUUGAAUACUUGACUAUGGUUUGCCUAGUGUAGUCUACCUUCCACUGCAUGGUAAUACGUUUAUUUCUAUCAUUUGUCUUCGAAACUUCCAUGUUUUGAAGACUUUCAUAAAAAUCGCCUGUUCACCCCCCCCCUCUAGUCGAUCACUAGCACUUUCAGUAUGAAUGGUUACAUUAGUGUAGAAUAUAUCCAAUGCCAAUGUUUUUUUAGCUCUACAUUGUUCUUGUAAGUACAUGUUGUCCUUUAUCAGUGUACUUAUAAUGACAGGUAGUUGUUCAUGUACCAUCACUCUGCAGCUUAUUUUCCUUUUCCCUCCAUUUUCUACACGUCAGAUCUAUAUUUACUCUUACCAUAAGGUUGGUACUGAAGAAGUUUAGCUGUGCAUUGCUCUUGGUUGUACCUUUUGCCUGUAUCGCUGCACUUACAUUUAUAGCUACUUGGUUAUGUAGCAUCACUCUUCAUCUUAUCUUAAAUAUUCUCCAUUUUUUGUAUAUUAUCACAUCUAUAUUUACUCUUACCAAAAUGUAGAAUAAAGGCAAUGCUUUUGAAGAAGAUUCUGUGGUAAACUUUUUGAAUUGCCCCCCCAUCAGCAUGGACAAGGCCUUUAUAGAGCCUGUCUUCACCAAUAAUGUAAGUUUGUCCAUCUCAAGCCUUCAAACUUUGUUGUAUAUAUUUGGUUAGGCAUGACUGCAACAGCUGUUUAUUUUUGGUGUUUGCAUCAAAUUGCUUGUUUAAAGUUUAUUAUAUGUAGUUCAUAAACAAAAGUUCGUCCUUUCUCAAUUUAAGUUUUCAGUUGUACAACCAAGUUCCUUCUUCAUACCAUGUAAAUUAAACUAUACAGAGCAAGUGAUCUUCUUUUGCACUGCAUGUAUGCUUCUGUUCUUCAUCUGUAAUCCAGUGGUGUGGUGAACCUACCCACUACAGCACAAUGUCAUAUUCUGCAAUGUCUUAACUAUGAAAAAUGUCAUAUCAUUCUACUAUUAUUUAAACUGUCUCUUUAUUUGCCAAUCUGAAAUGGUAUAAAUUGACAGCACACUAACCAUUGAUACUUAUGAGUUCUUGAUCUGCAAUCCAGUGGUGUCGUGAAGUUGCCAACUCCUUCACAAUGUCAUUUCCUGUCAUGUCUUGACCUAAACAAUACCAUAUUGUGUUAAUGAAAUUUUAAACUGUGUCACUUUAUUCGUCAGUAAGAAAUGUGAUAAAUUGUCAGCACUGAUACUUUUAUAUGCAAAACCUGUCAUCUGUCUGCUUGUUUAUCUUUCAGAGUGAGGAAGAUAUAAGUGUUGAACAAGCGCAGUCUUAUCAUCUUGCUCAGCUGCUUGCGUUGCAGCUCCCCAGCAGGGCUAACCUUUCUUGAACUCUAUUGAAGUGAUGUCGGUUUUGUAUAUUAUUUUGUCGGCGUGUUUAUUUGCACUUGUGGCAAUCUUUGAUGCCCAGUGUAUGUAAUCUGUUGUCUGCUUGUGCUUUAUUAUCAUAGUGGUGAACUUUGAUGCCCAGUGGAUGUAAUAUGUCGUAAUUUCUUUAUUGUAUAGUAUAGGUUUUUUCUUAUUCAUGAUGCUGCAGUUAUUUUACUGUAUAUAUAUCUUGUCUUCGCAGUAAACCGGCCAACCCAUAAAAUUAAGGUACAUAAUCGGGCCGUCAUGCAAUCACGAUGUAGGCUGGGCCUGAAACGUGUCGAUCAGCUCACGGGCCGGCAGCAGCCCGAAAUGAACCCCGGCCCAUGAUUGUGCGAAUCAAAUCACGGGCUUUUAACAGGCCGAAAAAUUGUCUUGGUCCUUGUUUGGCCCAAUCAGAUAUCAGCUGCGAGCAGGCUGGAUGCAAACCGGACCGUAGUUAGGCCCAACUAUAUGAUGGGAUUUUAACAGGCUGAAAUUAAUAUAGGGCCGAAAUGUUAAACAGGCCAUUAACAGGCCAAAACUAAUAUGAGGCCGAAUUACUAAGUGGGCCUUUAGCAAGUGGGCCCAAAAGCAUAGUGUCCAGUGGACGGGCCGAAUCUGAUAUGGGCCAUAAUUAGGCCCAAAACCUCUUAAAGGGUCGGACCUGAUCUGGGCCGUAAUUUGGCCCGAAACGUGGUAGGCUUUUAACGGGCCAGAUCUCAUAUGGGCCACUAUUAGGCCCGGAGCGUGGCAGGCCAUUAAUAGACCGUAUCAAAUAUGGGCCGGCAUUUGGCCCAAAACAUGGCAGCCAGUUAAGGGCCGGCCUACUAAGGUCCUCAAAAUCUUGUGGGCCUAUAGCUGGGCCGGCCCAUUAAUGUCGACGAAAUCUCGUGGGCCUUUAGCUGGGCCGGCCCAUUAUGAUCCGCAAGAAUUUUGUGGGCCUUUACCUGGGCCGGCCUAUUAUGGCACACAAAAAUCUUGUGGGCCUUUACCUGGGCCGGCCCAUUAUGGCCCACGAAAUCUUGUGGGCCUUUAGCUGGGCCAGCCCAUUAUGGUCCGCAAAAUCUCGUGGGCCUUUAGCUGGGCCGGCCCAUUAUGGUCCGCAAAAUCUUGUGGUCCUUUAGUUGGGUCGGCCCAUUUAAACUUGUUGGGCCGUGCCAUGUGUCGACGUAUCAUAGGCGCCUUCUGUCCAGUGAGUGGAUGACAUCUGUCCCGACAAUGAGCCGACACGUGUUUCCUCUAGCCAAUGAUGAUUUUACACAUGGAAAAUCCCCAUUGGUCGGGGCUAUUAACGGGUUAUCGGAUCCAAAACCCGACCCGAUAGCUUAACGGCGUUCCGUUACGGUGAAUGCCACGUGUCGGUCACCCUUGACGAAAGCACUUCUGUGACGCGCGAUUUAUCGUCAUGGAAGUGGACACUUCCGUGAUGAUAAUUUUGGUAAUGUCAUGGAACACUUCUACGACAGCACAGGUAUGACUAUCUUGAUUCUGUCAUAAAUUUGUCAUGGAUGUACAUGCAUGACAAAAAAAGCGACCUACUGUGACAAACACGUAUCAUCACAGAAGUGUAUUUUUUUGUAGUGCCCCCCAAGGAAGGAGGCCGAGUGGGAGAAGGGAAAGAGGAGGUUCGCACCCCCCCCUUCCUUCUCUCCUUCCUCUUCCCUUCCCCCCCCCCUCCGAAAAUAUGGAAGGGGGAGGCCGAAUUCGGGAGGACCCCAAGUAGGAUUCCUCCUACUUGGGGCGCACCCUUGCCGCUCCCCUCCCCCUCCCACCUAUAUAUAUGUGGGGAGGGGGCGCCUAGAACACAUAACAUCAAUUGUUAGUUGUGUGUUGUGCCUCCCUCCACAGUUUACACUCCCGGUCAUAUUCUCGCGGUGCUUAGGGGAAGCCCUGCGUGGAUCACUUCACCAUCACCAUCACCAUGUCGUCAUGUUGACGGACCUCAUCUACUUCCUCGGCACCUUGCUGGAUCAAGAAGGUGAGGGACUUCAUCGCACUGAACGUGUACAUAACUCGGAGGUGACGUAUGUUCGCUGCUUGAUCAGUCGGAGCUAGGAGUUCGACUACAUCAACUGUGUUGUCAAACGCUUCUGCCUUCAGUCUAUGAGGGUACAUAGACACACACUCUCCCUCGUUGCUAUGCAUCUCCUAGAUAGAUCUUGCGUGAGCGUAGGAAAUUUUUUGAAUUGCUACGUUUCCCAACAGGUGGUGCCGCUGGGGUCGAUCCUUGACGGGUCAAUUAUCAUUUUCCUUACUAUAUCUUCAUAGAUCAGGUUGAGGCUACUAUCGCCAUCCAUAAGGACUCUGGUAAGGUGGUAGCCACCAAUAAUUAGGUCGAGAACCAAAGCCGCCGAUCCACCAUGACGGAUACUGGUUGGGUGGUCCUUGCGAUUGAAGGUGAUCGGACAUCCCGACCAUCAACUGAAUUUCGGGGCCACCAACUCUAUGGCGUAGACAUCCUGAAGUGCAUGCUUCCUCUCCUUCUUGGGUAUAUGAGUGGCAUAGAUCAUAUUUACUGUUUUAACCUCAGGAGGGAAUUGUUUUUGUCCUCCAUUGUUCAGCCUGCGAGGUUCCUCGUCAUCCUCACCGCAGGAGCUUUUGCCCGCGUCUUUGGCUGUUGCUUUACUGGGCUGCUUAAUUACCCAACAAUUAUGGUUGGUGUGAUUGGCGGGCUUCUCUGCGGUGUCGUGUAUCUGGCAUGGCCUGUCCAAGAUAAUGUCCAACUUGGUGGGUCCAUCCUGAUUUCCUUUAGAGGGCUUUUUUCUCAGCCCUGACUUGGAGUUACGGAAUCCGGCAUUUACUGUCGUGUCAUUGGCCUUGGUGCCAUUGUGUUGCCGCUUAUUUUUUGUUGCGGCAUGGUUUUCCAUUGCUGUCCCGGACUUCCGAAGUGGCAGGAUCUUCUGGGUUGGUGCUUCUAUGAGCCAACCAACGAUCUUCACCGGCAUAGAAGCGGGUCAUAAGGGAGGUAAGAGCCGCCAUUGCCUUUGUCUUAUCUUGGCCAAGCUGGCGGGAGCCAUUCAUCCCGGAUAUUGUGCCUGAGCGCAGCUAUGGCUUCGGCAUCCGGGUAGUCAACUAUCUGAUUCUUUUUAGUAAGGAACCGAUUCCAGAAUUAUCGAGCUGACUCCCCGGGCUGUUGGGUCACAUGGCUCAAGUCAUCAACGUCCGGAGGCCAGACAUAGGUGCCUUGAAAGUUGGCUCGAAAGGCAUCCUCUAGCUCUUCCCAGCUCCCUAUGGAGUCUUCGGGGAGGUUGCUCAACCAAUGUCGGGCUGGUCCUUUGAGAUUUAAUGGCAGAUAUUUGAUAGCGUGAAGGUCGUCUCCUCGUGCCAUAUGAAUGUGGAGAAGAAAGUCCUCGAUCCACACGGCCGGGUCUGUAGUGCCAUCGUAUGGCUCGAUAUUCAUGGGUUUAAACCCUUUUGGGAAUUGGUGCUGCAUCACCUCAUCCGUGAAGCACACUGGGUGAGUGGCGCCCCUUAUUCGUGCCACGUCGCGUCGAACCUAAGAAUCCAUCCGUGCCCAGCGUUGAUCGGAGCUCUAUCGUUUUGGUCGAGCCAUGCUUGGUAUCUGUUUCUUCUUUCGUGAGGGUAGUCUCUUGAUCCGUAAAUGGACAUUGACUAACCCACUCUAGCGGUCAGAUCGUGUCGCUGAUUGUAUUGAUAUGCUGGUUGUGCCGCCUCCUUGCCUUUAUGGUGAGGGGGAGCAGGUGAGUAUUCGGGCUCUCCAGACGGCAUGUCCCUUCCUCAAGGGGGGGCGGUCGGGCUGGUCACCUUGAGUCCGUCUAGGCGGUACGGGCUCGAAGGCCUCGUCGUCGAAUUGUGGCAAUAGUUUGCGCUUGGGGUAGCUCGUUGUCUGUUGUUCAUAGCCAUACCCGUCUUCAGCUUCUAGGACUUUCGUCCAACUGUCAUUGAGGGUGUCUUGCUCGGCUUUUAUCUGUUGUUGCUUCUUCUUCAAGAUUCGCGUGGUAGCCAUUAGUUGUUGCUUCAAUCACUUUUGCCCCAAUGGAUCUUCUGGGACGAUAAAGUCCUCAGGUCCAAGGCUGACCUCCUCUUCGAAGAGGGGCAUAUAAUUGCUAUCUUUGGAAUCAUUGGGGUCAUCGGGAGUAUGCUGACCCUCAUGCCCCUCUAAGCCAUCAGAUUGGUGUUUGGGGGCAGGGUCACCGAGGUCUUCGCAUUGUCCAGGGUGUCGUCGCCUGCGGUGCCCGUGUUACUUUCCCUGCUUCGUCGCCCCUUGGAGCGUCAUCAUUGCCUCCGGCGCUUGGGGGGCUCCUCCCCUAGUUUAUUAUCCCUUCUGGGGGUGUCGUCACCAUUGGUGCCGUCACAUUCGUCCUUGGGGGUGUCCACCAUGUAAAUGUUGUGGGUGGAUGUGGCCGUCCAUCGGCCAGUGGCGGGAGGGGCCGUGGCCUCGCCAUCAUCGUCCAUCUCGUCAUCCUCCUCGGAGGCAUAAUCCAGCGUGUCGGUUAAGUCCUUGAUAGUGGCUAUGAGGUGGGUGGUGGGUGGGACGUAAAAUUCCCUAUGGCCUGCCUCAAGGCUCCGUUGAGCGUGAGUCGAGGACUGGCCGUCAACAAUAGUCAUCAUCUGGGUCUGAUCCAGCGCCUCAUUUAGUAAGGCAAGGUUGGCCUGGUCGGUGUAUGAGGCCUCUUCGAGGUUGACCCCUGUCGUGAUAGUGGAGUGGGGCAUGAGUUCGGCCAGGGCCAGACCCUGAUCUUCGGACACCAUGCCAGUGUCGGGGCUCAAAGCCGCAUCCAUAAUUAAGAAGCUGAGUUCGGCUGGGGUUGGAUCCCCAUCUUCGGACGCCGAAAUCCCCUGAAGGUUCGAGGCCGACUCCACAAUAGGGAGGGAGAGUCCGGAUAGGAUUGAUUCCUGGUCUUCAGACGUGGGUAGUGUUUCUGAGCUCGAGGCCGAUAGCACGGCAGGGGCCGAUCCGGAGAUCGGACCAGGGAGAGGUCCCAAAGUCAAUGCUUAGGAGGUCGUUUUUGUUGAAGGUACGGCCAAAAAGCCCGUGAAUAUCAGAUCGCCCCGAGCGUCGGUGACAUACUCAAGGUUGCCAAACCUGACUUGCUGCUCGGGGGCGAAGAUGUCGACCUAGUUGAGAUGACCAGUCGAGUCGGCGUGCAGGAAGUUGCUGCCGAACGCGAAAAGUUGCCCGGGAUGAAGAUGUCCCUAGUGUUUGAUGCCGUCUCCGAUGAUCAGGAGAGCCAUCAACCCUUUGAUGAUCUGACAGCGGAACUCUCAAUGAAAGCACCAAUGUCAGUGUCAAAAUUGGCGGAUCUCGGGUAGGGUCCCGAACUGUGGAUCUUGGAUCGAUGGGGAACAAGGGACGUAGAACACGAUAUUUAUCCAAGUUAGGGCCCUCUCUGAGAGGUAAUACCCUACAUCCAGCUUAAUUAUAUUGCUUGUGUAUAUGGGGAUUACAGAGUUGAUCUACCUCGAGAUCGGAGGAACUAAACCCAACUAGUAGGAUGGCAAUUGUUCUCCUAGCCUCUACAGACUAAACCCCCUGGUUUAUAUAGACACCAGGGGUACUAGGGUUUAUAGAUAAUCGGUUACAUCAAGGAAACACCGGAUCUUCCAUCUUGACUUGGGGUACACACCAAGGCACAAGUGUCUUCGGUCCGGACAUGGUGCGGCCCAACAAUCCGACCCACGUGAGAUGAGCCGGCACCCCGAGGACCCCCUAGUCCAGGACUCCCUCACCCCCCACAACCACUUGUUGGUUGGCUGCUCCAAGAGAACUUGACACUUGUUAUUUGAGAGCAACCCAUCCUCUGACGACUUUGAGAGAAUCCUAAGUGAGGAAAAACCCAGAGCCAAAGUGAUUGAGCAUCACUGAAGAGAUUGAUCUGUGUGAUCCGACGCCUGUUACCUUCGAAGAUUGUUAUUCUUCCAGACGGUUAGGCGUCAAGUUCUGAGUACACCAAGAGUCAUUGCAGUGUGCCGGUGAACAAGUCUGUGAAGGUUUUGGAAGUCUACCUUGAAGACUUACAACGAGUGAUUGGGCGAGGUAUGCUUAGCUCAAGAGGAAUACGGUAAGGACUGUGUGUCCUCUGAGUUGCGACUCAGCCACCUCAACCAGACGUACAGUUGAUGCAGCAACUGGAAGUAGUCUACCAAAUUGCAUUUUCUUCACCGAGCCAACCUGAUUUCAAAUUCCUCACCCUCUUUUACAUUAUUCCACCGCUGAAGAAUUUGUGAUCUAUGCUCUGACGAAUUUAAACUGAAGAAUUUCAUCACUCUAUCUUUCAUUUCCUCAGUUCAUAUUCUUCAUGAUUGUAUGAUUGCAUGUUCUUCACUCUUACGUAUCCUGAUUGCAUGUACUCUGAUUCUGUGAUGACUUAGUUUCCCUUGUGUUUCUAUUUCUUCACUCUGAUCUUCGUCAAAUUCUUUAGAGUUUGACGAAUUUCUAAAAAUCUCCCAUUCACCCCCCUCUGGUCUUCGUCAAAUUCUUCAGAGUUUGACGAAUUUCUAAAAAUCUCUCAUUCACACCACCCCACCCUCCCAUCUGGGAGAUAACGUGCGCUUUCAGGCAUGUACUUCCGGAUGCUCCUUCUGCUUGUUACACUUGUCUUCAGGAGGAGGACACCGUGGACCAUACAUAUAUUGGCACAACGUGUUUACGCGAGGCGGGUGUGGCAUGGUUGUUUUGACAGCUUGCGGGUUAACAUACACAUCCCGAAGGAAGAUGACUCCUUCAUGGAAUGGUGGGAGAGGACCCGUGCAAACUUUCGCGAGAUGGACAAGAGGGGUUUUGACUCGUUCGUCAUUGCAACCGCUUGGCAUCUCUGGAAACAAAGGUACGCAAGAGUGUUCAAUUGAGUUGAGCAAGUUAGAACACCCACUAGUUUGGUGCAGCAAAUUUUGGAAUAGAUCAAAAUAUGAAAAAUUGCCGGAGUUAGAGUAGCGGGGUUAACUAGAUUCGUGGGAGAGUAGGCCUUUUCUUUUUUGGUUGGUGUUGAUGUACCUGUUGCGAUGUUUGCAUCCUACCAUGGGUUUUUAUAAACAAUGCUUUCUUCUUUUUAUAAAAAUACGAUACGUCAUUGGCAUAUCUCGAAAAAAGAAGUUAAUGACUAAGAGCAAGUUGGCUAUACUAUUAACCAUGCUCUAAUAGCUCGUUUCGCUCACAUUAUUCAGCUACCGAUGACUCUUAUUCAGCCAAAGCAAAUCUCACUAGUUCUUGCAAGUGGCUAAGAGGGGAAAUGGCCCGUGUGGGUAUCUAGCCGUCGACGUCCCGGUAUAAAUCUGAGCGUAACAAAUCACUGCAAUGUAAUAUCCGGCAAUAAAAUGGUACUCCCCCGUCCCAUAAUAUAAGUAGUGUUGAAAACGCUCUUAUAUUAUGGCACGGAGUGAGCAGAUGAAUGCAGCAGUC
rnacentral:lncRNA from 1 species